UUUUUCUUAAGUCUAGUGAAAAAAAUGAUUUAAAAAAAAAGAACUAAGUGGGCUUUAAGGCAUUGGAGUAGCUUGCUAUUCAUGGAAUGGUUUCUUACAUCAGAUGUACUUAAUAAAUACUCCUUCCUGAUUCUCAGAUUGGACAGAUUCUCAAAUAUUGAUUUCUGUCUUUAUUAAUGCAGCCUUUCUCGAAAAAAAACUUCCUUUUCCAUUUCACUCAUUCUUUCUCUUAUCAAAGUUCUCAAUGCAUUGACUGCAUAUGGAUAAGUAAUAGUUACUUCUCUGUCUCUGCAGAUUAUCCGUGGCCAACAGUACUCCUUCAGUGCCAAUGUAAGCGUGGUUGCAUGCAUAAAUUCAAUGAUGAUGGGGGAGUUCUGUAAUAAUACUGUCUAUCCACUUUCAUGCACAACAUAUGAGGUCUAUAAAUCCAGUGCUCCGAAAGAUACAGUGACGCAGCCAUUGAUGGAAAAUGCAAUAACCUGCAAAAGUAACUUCGACACUUUUUGUGUUGAGGAAGGUGUAAUAAACACUUACUCCUUGGAUGUAACAAAUGUGGUGGAAGAAUUGACUAUAAAUGCAGUAAAUAUCAGAUUCAAUAACACACCUCCGAAUAACGCUUCAAGUGCAAAUGAUUUUAAGUUAAUGUGUUUUGCUCGCCAUGGUGCAAUGCCUUCUGCAAGUUUGCAUGAUUAUUCUAGUGAUUUAACUAAAGGCCCUCUGAUUAUUCGGUCACCAUUGAUUGGUCAACUGUACAUUAUUGUUUCACCAUUCAAUCUUACAAAAGAGUUUGGAGGGACUCAGGGUCGCGAUGUAAAAGUUUGCUAUUCAUUGGAGUCACAAGUGCUUCAGUGCCCACUUGGGAAAGCUGGACCAAAUUGCACAAUGGGUAGCUACACACUUCAGGUAUUAUUUAUUGAAAGAUGUGUCUCUGCCUCUAUUUUUCUUAUAUGCUUUCACUUCUAGUGCUUUAUUUAUAAUAUGAAAGUUAACUCUUAAAUUAUGUCAGUGUGAGAUUUAUAUCUUGAUUAUUAAAAAACAUAGAUCUAAAACUUGGAAAGAUUAAAAAAGAAAAUUAAUAUAAAACUUUUGGUAGAAAAUAAAAAACUGACGAUGUCUAAUUUACAACUCAGAAUCCAUCAGAUGUUAGCAAUUUGCAGAAAUAGGAAUGUCCCUUGUUUAAGUGCAGAUAUCAGCAUAAAUGUAAUGUUUGUCUUUUGGGAGUCCUGUUUCUUGUUUUUUUUUCCUGGGAUAAACUGAACUUAUUGUUUAGAAAAGCCAAAAUUUGAACUAUUUUAUCUCUAAUCUGAAAAAUAAAGAUUGAAGAACUUGUUCAACAUAUUAAUUUUUCUCAUGGACAAAUCAAAAUAAUGAAGUUUUCACUAAGGAAAUACUUCCCAACUGUUAUUUUGAUGUUCUUUUUAAGUUGAAGAACACCCUUUGGUAGAAUCAGCUAUAUAUCCUUAUACUUAAAGAUAUUUACUUCCAGGAAUAAGUUAUUGACAAGAUAAUAAUGGUUGUCUGCAGACAGUUCUAAGUAGAGGUUCAAGACCCUUUGAAUCAUAUUACUUACCUAUCGGUGAAGGAGCCUCUUCUGCCAAUUUUCCUCUUGAGCCACUUCUAAACAACUCAUCAAAUGAAGGACAAACUGAUGGCAUCUGGACUUACUUUACGUUAGACAUUCCUCGUGGUGCAGCUGGACGAAAUAUUCACAUUCGGCUAUCCUCAGAUGUGAAGAUCAGAUAUGAAGUUUAUGCUAGAUUUGGUGGAUUACCUUCUCUUGAUAACUGGGACUAUUAUUAUGCCAACAAGACAAGGAAGAGUGACCAAUCCAUGUUUUUCAUGCUAUAUCAUUCAAGUGAUGACAAUGUUGAUUUUUACAUUAUUUAUGCUAGAGAAGGAAAAUGGGGUUUUGGUCUAAGACAUGUUAAUACCAGCGGUUAUUCUUCAAAAGGGCAAACUGCUAUGUCUCUUUCACUUGAAGGAUGCCCGAAAGGAUGCUCCUCUCACGGGGAGUGUAGAUAUUCUUUCGAUGCCAGUGGAUUGACAUCCUACAGGUUUAUGUUAAACCCUAUGCUUGUCUUAAUUCAUCACAUCGGUUAUGCUUCAUUUGUUUUCUUUAAAUUGCUAAAAAAAUAACCAUAAAUGUCCUCUGUAUUGACUGGAUGUUGUGUAUGAUAAUAGAUGCUAAGUUGCAUAGUUUUCGAGAUUGCAUGUUUGUGGUUGUUUUGUGACUUUCCAAGGAAACUUACCAUUUUUAAUGCUUGAUUAUUGGCUUCAGCUUCUGCUCUUGUGACCGAAACCAUGGUGGCUAUGACUGUAGCAUUGAAAUUGUAUCACAUAAAGGUGAUUGCUCCUUUUAGAAGUUGAUAAAAUUUGGUGUUUCCAAUGCAAUUAUCUUGUUUCAAUUUUUAUUUGCACCCCCUUCCUUUCUCUGUCAUGUUAUUUUAAUAUAGUUUCCUAGCGACUAUUUAUAUCAGAAAAGAACUCUAUUAAAUGAUAGUAUCCAGCAGAGAAACCAAACUAUAUAAUUUAUGGACAUAUUCUAAUCAACCAUUUUCUUGUUUAUUAUUUCCAUUUUAUGAUAUAUUUGUAGUAAUUUGUUGCUAUUAAUACCAGAAUAUUAUGAGUGAAGUAAAUAAUGUAGUCCAUUGGAGUCAAGUUUAACUUAGCAACUUUGAUCUACAUUUAUAAAGUUAAAAUCCAAGUAUGCUUUACUUUGUUUUUCCAUUUGGUUUUGUCAAAUUUUGAGAUUUUAUAUAUACAUUUUUAUAUUUAGGAUAUGCUCCAAGUCAUUAUCUAGUUUUCUGUUCUUUAAUUGAGUUAUGGAAAAUUUAUGUAGGACAUAUAGUGCAAUCAAUUUUUCUCAUUGCAUCAAAUGCUGCAGCCAUACUUCCUGCCUAUUGGGCUCUUCGACAGAAGGUGGUUCUUAUCCUUUACUUUCUUUCCUCUUGUUAUCUAUGUUUUCUCCUAAUAAUUCGGCGGUAUCAUGAGAUUGUACCUUUCGGCACAUAGAGAAUGAUUGGCACUACUUAAACUUGUAUAUAAACUUAUAUGUUGAGGAGAAAUCAUUCUAGAUAUCUAGAUUAACAGUGAUAAUGUGAGAAACAAACUGGAUUUCCGAGUAGUAAUAUAUUCACUCGGAGCAAUGCUUCUAAAUUUCCAAAAAACUAAAUUGACUCUUAUAGAUUUUAUGUUGACAAUCGAGUCCAUGGUUUCCUUUAUGCAGGCGUUUGCUGAAUGGAUUUUAUUCACAUCCAGUGGAACUUCAAGUGCAAUAUAUCAUGCAUGUGAUGUCGGAACUUGGUGUGUUUUGAGCUAUAAUGUUCUACAGGUUAAAUCUUUACCUUCAGUGUUCUCUCUUGCAAUAUUUUUUUACAAGUAUUUGGAACUAAAAUUGUUGCUGAGAUGCGAUAGCCAAAAAUGUUAUGCCACUUGCAUAUCUUUUACAAGCUUCAACUAUCCUCUUUAAUCUAUGUUCCUAAUAGGAUUUAGGUUCUAAUGGUGCCGCGGAUGCCCAAGCCUCGGUGUAAAUCACAGUAGCAUGUAUACAUGCUCAGAUGAGAAGCUAAAAGAUGACUUAAUUCAAGAUAUUGGGAUCUAAAAAUGAAACACACAAUGAUAUUCUUGUUUUUUUUAAUCCCCUGCAAAUUUACAGUAGCUUUUUAUAUCAAUAUUUCAGUUCAUGGAUUUCUGGCUCUCGUUCAUGGCCGUGAUUAGCACUCUUGUAUACCUAACUACCAUUAGUGAAGUACAUAAGAGGACGAUCCACACAGCUGUUUUUAUCCUCACCGCCCUCCUUGCUGCAACUAAGGCAACCAGGUAUGCUGAACUGGUAGACAAACAAAUGUAGCUCACACACACAUAUGAGUCAUGUUAACGAGUUCCUAACGGUAUUGGUUAAGGAAUCCAAAAAUAGAAAUAAUGCAUUAAAAGCCGCAUAUUAUAAAUUUUGAUGUAUUUGGAAUCAUCAUUUUCAAAUGAAAAUCUUCUAUAUUUAAUUCAUUAACCAGUCGUCUAGUGCACCCUAAGCACUCAUUAACAUUCCCUAAUAUAUAUAUAUAUAGGAAGUGACUCAUAUGAGAGCAAUGUGCUAUUAUGAGAAAUGAGAACAAUUAACAUUGACCAUUAGAUCUUAUUUGAAUGAUCAAGAUUAAUAUAUACAUGCACAUGGUGAUCACGUGACUAAUAACUAACUUUUAAGUUUUAAUCCUAAUCAUUCAUGAUUGGUUGUAAGACAUAAAUUUAUUAUUCUCACUUUUUAUAUGAGAAUUGUUCUCACUUGAGUCACUUCUUGUAUGUAUAUAUAGGAAGUGAUUCAAGUGAGAACAGUUGUUCUUAUAUGAAAUCAGAACAAUUAAUAUAGACCAGUGAAUCUUAUUUGAAUAACAAAGAUUAAAAGAUAAAUAAACAUGACUUUUUUAAGUGAUCAUGCUAUCAUUAAUUAACUUUUAUAUAUACACUCGAUCAAGUGAGGGGACUUUUAUAGAUGAGGGUGAUGAGUAAAUAUUUACCAUUAGAUCUGACCAUGAUCAGUUAAGAUUAAAAUUCUCAUUCUCACGUAAAGAAGUCAUGUCACAUGCAUUUAUUCUCUAAUCUUAACCAUUAAUAAGCUUUAAUGAUGUUCUCAUCUAAUAUGCUCCAUAUAUAUGUGUGUUAAAUAUAUUUAAAGUUUUGUUUAUUUAUCUUUUUUUGGCAAAGAGAUUUGCUCAUUUUAUCUAUAUUGAAAUGUGCAGGUCUUCCAAUAUUGUGCUUGUAAUUGUGUUUGGGGUUGUUGGCCUUCUUAUUGGAUGGUUGAUAGAGAUGUCAUCAAAGUAUAGUUCCCUUUCGAUAGGAUUCUCACUAAAUUUCCUUCAAAGGUGAGAUCUCUGUGCUUAAUGAAUUAAUUGGAGGGCAACAUAGUAGUAGUUGAUGGUGCAAUUUGUGCGCAAUAUCGAGUUUUAUAGCUGAUAAUACCAUGAUCUUUGGAACCCCGUCGUAAAUUGCCAAGUUGACACAAUACUACUGUUUUCUCUUUUCUUCAAAUCAUGGUUUGGCUCAUAUGCAUGUAGUCACUGAUUUUCUCUCUGGAACCCCGUAGUAGGGUUUAUUGUCAGUCAUUUUUGCUGAAACGCUUAGAAAUUAGGUAAUGAUACCUUCAAAUAGGUCUGUUUUUAAUUCAUGGCCUGAUUACAGUUUUAUGUUUUUAGACUGUCUUUUCAUUAUAGGGAAAUGGUAAACCAUAGGAUUUUAGCUAGGUGGAUGGAUCGGAGAAGUGAUUCAAAUGUUAUUUGUGAUAGAAAUGUUUGUGAAAAAUUCAUUUUAUAGGUAUAAGACCAUGAUGCUUUAUGGUAUUAAAUGUUGGAUGGUAAAAGGUCAACAAGAGCAUAUGGGGAAGUUGUGUUGGAUGAGAGGUCAUACAAGGCAAGAUAGGAUAUGAUUGAAUGCAUUGCAGAAAAAGUAUGGGUAGCACCUAAUGAAAAUAUGGUAGAAUCUUGUCUUACAUGAUUUGGCAAUAUGAGAAAACCAUUAGAAGCCUCCAUGUUGACGUCGUUAGGUCCAUGUUGCUGACCUCAUCUUAUGUAAAAAACUGUUUUUAUUGUUGUAUGUGCUUGGAAGAUGAAUAAGUCCUAAAAAAUAUAUCUAAAUAUAGCGAUCAUUGUAAAUUUCUACUGCAGUUCGCAGACUAUAAAACAACGGCUCCGUGAUCUUGUGAAGAAAACUUUGCGACGAUUCCACUGGGGUUUCGCAUUGGCUGGUUUUGUUACGUUGGUCAUGGCAGCAUCAAGCUGGGUACUUGAAAACAGUCAAACCUACUGGUUUUGGCAUAGGUAUUACAAUGUUACUGCUCUUUUCUCUAUCUUUGUUUAUCUGUCUUCUAUGUCUCAUGUUUGCUCUUUUAAAUGUUUACAGCUUUUGGCAUGCUACUAUAUACACAUCUUCUUUCUUCUUCCUUUGUUCAAAAGUGGAUACUGUCCCUCCCGAGAAUCAGCCACCUUCAACUGACAACUAUGCAUUGACUCGUCAGGAUUCAUUUCCGCGAAGUGGUUAGAAGAACAUGCAUGAAAUUGGUGCAAAAAGGAAUGAGGUAGGACUAAUAAGAAUUUAAUUUUGCUAAGGUGACACAAAAAUGUUAGGCUGGUGGUAUGGUAUAGGUGAAAGAUAUGGCUUCUGAUUAGAACUAGAAAUUAAUAUAGGAUUGAAUUGUGACUUUGUGAGUCCGAAGAUGUUACUUAAAAGUGAUAAGCAAAGCACUCUCUUGUAAAUUAUUUUUUCCCACAAUGAAUUGCUUAUGGCAUUCUUUAUAGGUAUUAUUUUUCCCAUAAAUGUUUGUACGUGAUAAUUGGUUGAAACAACAAUACAAUAUUAUUCUCUAAUAUCUAUUUCUUUAAUAUGUGGUUCAGUUUGGAUUGGUUCUAACUAUUCCUAAAUUUCUAAAACUAUGAACCACCACGCUUUAUUGUUUAGUUUGAUCCCACCAAGUUGAAGAUUUAAACUGGAUUUGAUUACACUCCUAGUAAUAAGGUAGGAGAAAGAAUAAAAUAAAGGGGAUAAAUUUAGUCAUGGGGCGAAAAGAGAAGGGCUUAAGGUCAGAGAUUUGGUCAUGUAAACAAAUUGGAAGGUUAAUAGCCUUUGAAUUUAAUAUAUUAAGUGAUUUCAGGAAGAGAAAAAACAACUCUACAUAACUUAAUGGUCUUGUUAUUUGAGUAACUUUAGUCUUCCUAAUAUUUUUACAUAAAAAACUCAGAAGCUUAAGUGAAAGAUUAUAUCAUGUAAUAAUGUAUUGGGAAUAUAAAAAGCAUCCAAUUAUUUCUGAUCUAAAGGCUAGAAUAUCAAAAGAAUUUCAAAUUAUUCUUUCUAUAAAAUACCUCUACUACUGCAUUGUAUUCUAAAGUUCUUAUUAGACAAAAAUACUCAUACUCUCCAUUUGCGCAUAAGGAUGGAUGUUGAUAUGUUUAAACUAUAAAAAUGUUACAACUUUGUCCAAGAUUUGAUAAUUUUUUAUUAUAAAAGGGUAUAUAAUAAGAAAGAGAAAUUGCAUGGCUCUCAUUUCCUUUAUAAGAUAAGAAGUUAUCAAAUAUUAAAAUGACACUGUAGAUAGGUAAAAGAAAUAUACAAACAAGGAAAGCAAAGCACUCAUUAUAUGCUCCCUAGUUCCUAUACACAAAGCCAAAACUCUUAUGAACAAAUUCCACACAAUAAGAAUUCUACCUACUUCCCAUAUGCUUAUACUGCUUGAUCAGUAUAUAGAAGAAUGGUUACUUCCUGAUGCCAAUGUUUGCCUUCAAAUUUACAUUCUUUAAUGCAAGUUUUCUCACCUGAAAAUGAAUUUUAGCCUUCUCAGUCUUUACUCUUUAGUUGAAGCGCUUCGUUGUGAACUGGUAGAAAAUGAGCGAAACUCAGAAGCCGAUAGCUCUCUGUAAUGCUUACGGAUGGUCCAAAGGAUCUCAGCACAUCUCUUCAUAUUAGGCCUGUUUUGUCUUUGAGGUGCCAAACACUGUAAAGCAAGUUCAAGUAUCUUUUCUAAGGCCAGAGAAUUUGCUGCAGUUUGAUCUAGUUUUGGGUCCAAGACGGAGAUGGCCUCUCCCUCAAUAAACCUCUGCAUAGCCUGCACUUAAAGGUAAUUGGUUACAAUAAGGAAUCUAUCUUUCUUACCUGCUAAAGUUUUGAACCAAAUGUUUUUCAUACAAAGAUAUGAAGUUGUUGAUGAUGUUUUAUGCUAUGUAAUUACUUCUGCAACUAUCAAUGAUAAUAAGCUAGAAGUUCAACUUAUAGACGAAUGCUGACAGAAGUCUGAUUGAUUAAAAUGGAAAGAUGCAAAGAAGCUAAACUAGAUUCAUUUGAUAAUAUGAGACAGGCAUGACAUAAGUAGUGACAGCUUAUUUAAAAUGAAGGAAAAUACUACACACCCAUUUUGCUGUUAUUCGCUCCUUGAGUUCAAAUUUUGGUUCAAUGGGACGUCUCCCCGUGACAAGUUCAACAAGCAAAACACCAAAUGAGUACACAUCACUCUUUUCGGUUAGUUGAUAAGUUCUCAAGUAUUCAGGAUCCAAGUAGCCAGCUGUUCCUUUAACUUGGGUGGAUACAUGGGUCAUGCCAGAGUCAAUAUCAGGUGCUUGUCUAGAAAAACCAAAGUCUGUUACCUUAGCUCUAAGUUUUUCUGUUAUGAGAAUGUUGGAAGAUUUUAUGUCUCUAUGAAUAAGUGGACGAUCUGCAUAGGAAAAACAAUAUACAUGCCUAUCAGAUUCUUUGCAGUGUUCUACAUGUUGCAUGAAGGACAAACACAGAUGAACUUUGCCAUUACUGAAAUGUUUGCUUGAUGAGAAAAUACUUUUACCUAUAUACAUAUGAAGAUAGGUGAUUGCAUGAGCCACAUCAAUUGCAAUGUCUAGUCGAGAAGCUAGGUCCAGAAUGCUUCCAUGAUUGCCUGUAAUAAUUCUUUGAUCAAGUUAUAGGCACUAAAAGCAACUUAAGUAAAAGGGAAAACCUCAAAAGCAUAGUAUAGCUAAAAAGAUGAGAAACUCACAAUCUAAAUGUUCUCGAAGUGUUCCGUUUGGAACAUACUCCACAACAAUAAUUCUUUCAUCUUCUUGCUCCAAAUACCCAUAGAACUUGACCAGGUUCAAAUGUUCUACCCGUGACAGGGUUUGAACCUCGCUCUGGAACUCAACACCCAAAUGCUUCUCAUUUACACUCUGCAAAGUAAUUCAACUAACUAUUAGAGAACCAUUCAGUUCAGAUUAGUUAGAAUCAAAAUAGUGUAGAAGGUUCCAGACUCAUGAAGAAGAAGUUAGUUACAGAGUUUGUUAUAGGAAUUAGUUGGUAGUUACCUUCUAUAUAUAGUGUUCUACCUCUUCCUUGUAAUUCAUUCUCUUCUUUAAUAAAAACCAGAUUUCAUUUCUUCUUCAAUUCUCUGAUUCACUUUCUCUUGGUAGUGCUACAUUUACAUGGUAUCACGCCAACAAUGGCCAACGCCGCCGACGCUGCCGGGACCUCUUCUCUUUCUCCGCCACGCUCAACCUCUGAUCCUUCACCACUUCACGUUGUUUCAUCACCAUUAGUACUUCCUCUACCUUCGAUGAAGCUCACCGACAAGAAUUAUCUGGUAUGGCGUCACUUUAUGAAUGCUACUCUUACUUCAAAUCGAGCAAAUCGGUUUGUGCUCGGUACCGAAAUUCCACAUCGAUUUCUUAAUGAUGAUGAUCGGCUAAUCAAUCGAAUCAAUCCUGCAUUCCUUCGAUGGGAAGAACAGGAUCAAACAAUAUUUUCAUGGAUUUUGAAUUCACUUUCUGAAGCUCUACAACUUAGGGUUGUAGGAUGCACUCACUCAUGACAACUCUGGGAGGAACUCGAUGCCUAUUGCAACUCACAGACAAAAGCCAAAGGAAGACAGUUACGAUCUCAGUUGCGUUCUAUUUCACAAGGUUCAAGUACCAUUUCCGAGUAUCUGAUGAAGAUCAAGAAUCUUGUUGAUGCACUCACCUUCAUCGGUUCUCCAAUUUCUCCUUCGGAACACAUAGAUUACAUUCUGGAUGGAUUAAAUGAAGAGUUUCAAUCGAUCAUAACGUCGGUUGAGAGUCAACUAGAUCUUCUUACUCUCCAUAACCUAGAAUCCUUCCUUCUCACUUUUGAAUCCAGAAUGGAAAAGAACAAAUCGAAAGCUCUUUCCGAUGCACUCUUUGCGAACAUGGUUGUUGCUUCAUCAUCUUCUCCGGCUCCGAUAAGCUCACAACCUCUUCCGUCGUAUCUUGAUGUACCUUCGUCUUCGCUGCACUAUAGUUCCAGAAACGAUUCACUAUCUCCGGUGUCACUUGGAGGUCAUGGAGGACUCGGUUCCUAUUGGGGGAACUCACGUUCUCGUCGCGGAGGACGUUUUCGCGGUGGCAGAAGCUCUGGUCGACCACCAUCGUCCUACUGCGAGUACUGUAGGAGGCCAGGCAUGAUGUUUCAGUAUGUUACUAUGCACCGCCUGAGUUUCUGGAUGAAUUAACCUACUUGCCUCCUCUGCAUUUUACCAAUCGUGGUCACUGGCCAUCUCAUAAUGGGCCAAGGGUUGCUUAUGCCUACCGCCCCACAACCCGUCAUACUUAUCCAAGAGAAUCUCCUCAUGUGCCUUCCCUUUACAAUUCUGCACUUCCUGGACAGCAUUCUUUGCUUGGGCCAGGACCAGGCCCAAUUCCACAAUCACAGUAUAAUACUCACUAUACAAGGGGACAACAUUAUCCUUCCCAUGUAAUGACAGCAAGCUUGGGACCGUAUGAAACCAGAAACAACAUUUGGUACCCAGAUUCUAGAGCAACAAAUCACCUCACAGCAUAUCCAUCUCUUGUGCAUGAGUCGAUUGAAAAUUUUGGACCGGAACAUAUAUACAUGGGUAAUGGAGUUGGUAUUCCCAUUACUCGCACUGGAAAUUCCUAUUUUGUUUCUCCUUCUAAUCCAAAUGCUACUAUUGCUCUAAAUAAUUUACUCUUAGUAUCCUCUAUUACUAAAAACCUUACUCUCAAUUUGCAAGAGAUAAUUCGUCCUAUUUUCAGUUUCAUGCUAACAUUUGAUUUGUCAAAUCUCAGGGUACUAAUGAAGUUUUGUUUCAAGGGAGUCUCACUAAAGAUGAUCUCUACGCAUUUCAUGGCUUUCGUCCAAGAUAUGCUUCUCAUAGCUCCUUUUCUUCCUUUAAUUAGGGUUGUAGGAUGCACUCACUCAUGACAACUCUGGGAGGAACUCGAUGCCUAUUGCAACUCACAGACAAAAGCCAAAGGAAGACAGUUACGAUCUCAGUUGCGUUCUAUUUCACAAGGUUCAAGUACCAUUUCCGAGUAUCUGAUGAAGAUCAAGAAUCUUGUUGAUGCACUCACCUUCAUCGGUUCUCCAAUUUCUCCUUCGGAACACAUAGAUUACAUUCUGGAUGGAUUAAACAAAGAGUUUCAACCGAUCAUAACGUCGGUUGAGAGUCAACUAGAUCUCCCUACACUCCACAACCUAGAAUCCUUCCUUCUCCCCUUUGAAUCCAGAAUGGAGAAGAACAAAUCGAAAGCUCUUUCUAAUGCACUCUCUGCGAACAUGGUUAUUGCUGCUUCGCCAUCUUCUCCAGCUCCGGUGAGCUCUCAACCUCUUCCGUCGUAUCUUGAUAUACCUUCAUCUUCGUUGCAUUAUAGUUCCAGAAACAAUUCACUAUCUCUGGUGUCACUUGGAGGUCAUGGAGGGCUCGGUUCUCAUCGGGGGAACUCACGUUCCCAUCGCGGAAGACAUUUUCGUGGUGGCAGAAGCUCUGGUCGACCACCAUCGUCCUAUUACGAGUACUGUAGGAGGCCAGGACAUGAUGUUUCAGUGUGCUAUUAUACACCGCUUGAGUUUCUUGAAGAGUUAACCUACUUGCCCCCUCUGCAAUAUACCAAUCGUGGUCAACGACUAUCUCUUAGUGGGCCACGGGUUUCACAUGCCUACCGCCCCACAACUCAUCAUGCUUAUCCAAGGGAGUCUCUUCAUGUGAUGUUUCUUGGAUACUCUACCUCUCACAAAGGAUAUAAGUGUUUGUCUCCAGAUGGAAAGAUUUAUGUCUCUAAAGAUGUUCUUUUUGAUGAACAUACAUUCCCCUUUCCACGUCUUACACCAUCCACUUCGUCUAAAAUGUGUUCUUCUUUUGAUGCUCCUACAUCUCAUCCUGUCCCUGUUUCCAAUUUCUCUCCUACUCCCUUGAUAACUAAUCUGCUCCCUAACACUCCUAUUUCAUCAUCUUCUACAUUACCUCCUGUUACUAUCUCAUCUAGUCACACUUUUUCUCAGGCCCCUAUUCUGUCAUCAGAGUCUCCUCCUCAUCAACUUCCCUCUUCUCCUGAUUUGUCUCCUGAUGUCUCCACUUUACCCCGGUCUACACAUCCCAUGCAAACCAGAUCUAAGUCAGGAAUUUUCAAACCUCUUGUUCCCAGAUCCUUUCUUGCUGAAAUUGAACCUGUUAACACUAGAGGAGCCUUGGCCAAUCCUGUUUGGCGUCAAGCGAUGCAAGCUGAGUAUGAUGCUCUUAUGGGUCUAGAGCCAUGGGCUUUAGUUCCUUUACCCCCUAACAAGCAAGCUAUUGGCUGCAAAUGGGUGUUCCGGAUUAAAGAAAAUCCUGAUGGAACUAUUCACAAAUAUAAGGCACGACUUGUUGCUAAAGGGUUUCAUCAGAAGUUUGGAGUAGACUACACUGAAACCUUUUCACCGGUAGUUAAACCUGUUACUAUCAGAGUUCUCCUCACUCUUGCAGUCUCUUAUCAGUGGCCUAUUGAACAGCUUGAUAUUAACAAUGCCUUUCUAAAUGGUCUCCUUAAUGAAGAGGUGUACAAUCAACAACCUACGGGUUUUCAGCACAGUGAUAAAACAUUGGUCUGCAAAUUGCAUAAGGCUAUCUAUGGUCUCAAACAAGCACCCCGACAAUGGUUUGAAAGACUCAAGAGAUCUCUACUUCAGUUUGGGUUUUACUCAUGCAGGUGUGACAACUCUUUGUUCAUUCACACUUCAUCCGACUUUAAGCUAUACGUGUUAGUUUAUGUGGAUGAUAUGAUAGUCACUGGUUCAUCUCCUUCAAUGGUCUCUAAAGUGAUUAAAGAUCUUAGUACCACAUUUGCUCUUAAGAAACUCGGAAAAUUGGACUACUUUCUUGGAAUUGAAGUCAAGCAUCUUUCCGAUGGAACCUUACUCAUGUCUCAAACCAAAUAUAUUAGAGAUCUCUUAGCAAGAGCUAAUAUGGAUACAGCAAAACCAAUGCCAUCACCUAUGGCUAGCAAUUGCAAACUUUCACAAGAAGGAAAUGAUCUCUUUGAGGAUCCUACUUUUUAUAGAUCAAUUGUUGGAGCUUUACAAUAUGCUACUGUCACAAGAUCAAAUAUAACAUUUAGUGUCAACAAAGUGUGUCAGUUUCUUGGAAAAUGUCUUCAAUCUCAUUGGACUGCUGUUAAGAGAAUUCUAAGAUAUUUACAAGGCACAGUCAGCUUUGGCUUAACUAUUAGGAAAGUUCAUAAUCACACUCCAUUAGCGCUUUCUGCUUUUUGUGAUGCUGAUUGGGCAUCUGAUAUUGAUGAUCGGAAGUCUACCUCAGGUGCAUGUAUCUUUUUGGGUCCAAAUUUAGUUACUUGGUGGUCUAAAAAGCAACAAACAAUAUCUAGAUCAAGCACAGAAGCAGAAUACAGAAGUCUAGCUCUUGCUUCUCAAGAAUUGAUGUGGAUAGAAUCACUUCUAAGCGAACUCAAACAACACUACAGAACUCCUGUUGUGUUUUGUGACAAUCUUAGCACAAUUGCCAUGUCACACAAUUCUGUGUUACACAAUAAGACCAAACACAUUGAACUAGACUUAUUUUUUGUUCGAGACAAAAUUCAGAACAAAACUCUAGUCGUCAAGCAUGUCUCUUCGAUUUAUCAAACUGCAGACAUUCUCACAAAACCUUUAAGCAACUCUCAAUUCAUGAGUCUCAGAAAUCAACUCCAAGUCAAAGACUAUUUCAACAUGAUUAAAGAACCUUCAGGUUCAGGGGGGAAUAUUAGAGAACCAUUCAGUUCAGAUUAGUUAGAAUCAAAAUAGUGUAGAAGGUUCCAGACUCAUGAAGAAGAAGUUAGUUACAGAGUUUGUUAUAGGAAUUAGUUGGUAGUUACCUUCUAUAUAUAGUGUUCUACCUCUUCCUUGUAAUUCAUUCUCUUCUUUAAUAAAAACCAGAUUUCAUUUCUUCUUCAAUUCUCUGAUUCACUUUCUCUUGGUAGUGCUACAUUUACACUAACCAAUAAGGCAAUAUCUUUUGGAUGCUUAUGAUCACUAACAUUCUCAUUAUACCUAAGUAGUGACACACAAAUAAGCAAGGGAAUAUGCUAAAACAAUUGACAUAACCUUCUUCGCACGCUUCACUGCAACUACAGUUCCAUUGAGGAGUUUGGCCUUGUAUACUGCACCAAAACCACCUUGGCCAAUCUUGAAAGAAGGAGAGAAGUUUCUUGUGACUUGGAAAAUUUCCUCCAUGGUGAACUUCACAAUGGCAGGCUCACCCUGGAUUGAGUUAUGUAAAGUGAUGCUGACACCUCGACUUGAGCCACGCGCUUUGUGACUCCCAGAUCUUGAAGCUUCCGAAGCAACUAAGGAAAAAAUAGAACACCUUAUUUUAAUUUAUUCAUCCCGUUUGAUAAACAUCAACAUAAAUCUACCUAGAGCACCACUUCAAAAUCUGUCGGUUUUUCUCUCUACUGUAUACAUAUAUAGAAAGGUCCUAAAUUGUGAAUUACAUCAUUUGAUGCAGCUACAAUUAGCAUUUAAAGUUACUGGCACCACAACAUUUUUCCGUAAUUGUAAUGUGAGUCCAAAGCAUAGAGAAUUACCAUAACAAAACAGUGAUCAGGAACAUUGGACUGCAUUAUAGCUGCAUCCAGCUACAAUGGACCACACUAUAUUCAAAAACAAUUUUUGGUAACAAAUAAAUUGCACCACAAUGGUAAUAGUCGGCAAUGACUAUAAUCACAGCCGUCACGACUGCAUCAUAAACAUUAAGCACUGAUGAAGAGUUUAAUCAUCUUCUGGCUUUGAGAAUAAGCAACCUUAAUGACUCAAUACAGAUGGUCAUUAUUUUUUUGGUAUUAUCAAGAGUAUCCUAUCACUUUUUAGGUAAAGAACUAUUCUCUUUCGGGGUUUAUGGCUGCUCCUCCUAACAAGUAUCACUCCCAAGAAUCGAACCCUCAACCUUGGAGAUCUACUAUGGCCUUGUUGGUAGAUAGCCACUAUUUUGAAAACACCUAACCAAAUUCGCGACCCCAUUAUCGAAAUCACAAGCCAGAUCGAACUACCAUUGAGAACUAAAGUGAUUAUAAGCUUCUAAUUGUUGACGAGUCAAACCAAAAAAUCCAUAACCAAGUCAAUAUUUGUUAACUUUUCAACCAUGUACUAUGAACCCAAAAAUCCAAAGCUUAUUUUUUUAUUAAAAAAUGAAGCUUUUCAAAACCUGAGACCCAAAAAACAAAGAAGCACAAACACUUAAUUCACGAACAAUAACUACAAAUAAAAGUUUACCGUUGUUGUUGUCCUCAAAUUGAAAAACACUAAAAACAAAACAAGAAAUGAAAAACUAAAUUACCAGAUGAAGAUUUGAACUCCUCAGAAUCCACAAAGCUCUUGGAAUUGUUCGUAUCCGGUGGCGUAAAGCACGCUGUGAAAAUUCCGAUGACUGACAUGACGGUGGCAGCCAUGGGAUUCCGGCGGCUGACUUUAGAAGAGUUGUGACCGGAAGUGGGAGAGUACCCGAGGUGUUCCGGCGUGCUACGGUGGCCGAAGCUUCCGUUCCUGCGGUUAGUAGUUGGGGCGGGGCUCUUCAUUUUUUGGAGAGAGAAAAUAGACAAGUAGCAGGAACGUUAGAGAGAGAAAGAGUGGCGUCAACUGUAUUGAAAGUGAAGAUCAACUACCUGGAUUUUUUUAUUGUUUUAGCAUACAUUAUCAAUUAUUAAUUUACAUUAUUUAUAUUAUUUUCCAAAUAGUUGAUGGUGAAUAAUAUCUAUAUCUAUACUUCUAUACUAUAUAUAAAGUCAAAACAUCUUAUAACUACUUACAUAUGGUAUAAUUUUUUUGUAUAUUUUACCCUCUAAUUAACUAUUACUAUAAUGUUUUCUCACAUAAUAAAAGAAAUAUUAGUGGAAGUUAAAGUAAGUUACAUGCACAAAAAAUAUCAAAACACCAAUAUAAUUUUUAAUGUAAGUUUUAGUAAUAUCACAAUUCAUUAUCAUAUUUUUCUAUUACAUAAAUUAUAAUAUUAUCUAUACUCAAUAAAAAGUAAUAUAACUCUCUAAAAUGAAAUAUAUAAAAAUUAGAUAUUUAAUACUAGAAAAUAAGAAUGCGGAUCGACAGACACGAAAUGACUGUCGACACGCUAGUAAUAAUAAUGUAUAAAACUAAUAUAUUAUAUGUGUAUAUAUUUUUCUCUCUUUUUAAUAUUAAUUAAUACUACUCAACUGUGUUUGGUAUGGAAUUUAAAUAAGAACGCAGCUGUUUUGAAUUGAUGAAGAUUUUCUUUGGGUUCUAGAAUUAGUUUUUUUAAAUAAUUUUCAAUUUCCACAAAGUGUAAACAUAAACGUUGGUUCGUUAAGGUUUUUGUCUGGAAAAGAAAAUAUGAGGAAUUAUGACUAAAAAACAAAAAUGUAGAAAAUGAGUUAGUUGAUUUUAUUGUUAUUUGGUACGAUGAAAAGGGGAAAAAACUUAUGAGAAAAUAAUAAUUUAAAUAAAGAAAUUACAUAAUUGUUCCAAUAUCAUUAUCCUUUUCUCAAAUUUGAAAGGAGAUGAGUUCCACUUAGAAUGUAGUUAACUUGUUUUAAUUUUUAAACCUUUAUAGUUAUUCACUAAUAAAAAAUACUACAAGUAAAAUUGUCACUAAUAACAUAACUAGAAUAAAGAAUAGAGAUCACAUGUUUCAACAUUUUGUGUCAUAUAUUAUGUCCCAAUCCAAUCGUAGAAUGACAAUUAAUUAGGAAAAAAAACCAUAAGAACAAAAAAUAAUUUGUUUCAAUUAUAUAGUAGAAUGUGAUUCAUUUGACACAUAUAGAUAAAAGUUUUUUGAAACGUGCGAUUUUUGUUCAUAACUAAGAGUCACAUGGUGGUUAAGUGACAAGGGUGGAAGGUUAUGGUGGAAAGUAAAUAGGUUUGAGAGAACAGUCAUUUCCCCCUUCUUUUUCUUCCCAACCAAGUUACUUUUCUCCCUCUUUUUUUAUUUUUAUUUUUUAACUUCAACCAAAUUGAUAGGAGCCCAACUCCUAUGAAGGUUGACUACAAUGUACAAAGGCCCAUAAGAACUAAACAAAGGCCUAAGUGGUUAUCUGACUUUGUGACUGAAUAUUAAAUAGUUUUAUUUAAAUCCUUAAUUUCAGAAUGAGCCUAUGCUGUUAGCCCAAUUCAAUAGUGUAACCCUAAAAUGCUCUAGCUUAUGUAUUUAAAUCUGUGGCUGCUGAUGCCUAGGAGCUAUGAAUGAAGAUAUUUUUAGUAUAAUUUCCUGUUUCUUCUAUUAAUAUUCUGCAACUUCAUUAAAUAUUUAGUGAGAUCCUAACAAUUUGGUGCUUUCAUUCUUGAUAUCAUGCCUCCUAAACCAGCAAACAAAGAUGUUGAUGAAAAUCUCUUACAACUCUUUGCAGAAAAACUCAAAGAAAACCAGGAGCAACAAGACUCCGAGCAUGAAUCCAUUGCUGAAGCUCUUCGUUCCAUUACUGAAAAAUUGGCAGGUAUGAACACUUUACCUCCCCAACCCCCUGACCCGCCCCACUUAACCCUUAACCAACCAGGUUCUUCAAAUGUAUCAAACCCUAACCUCAACAUCCCAAUACCCCCAAAUCAACCUCACCCAAACCCAAACAUUGGUAAUCCACCACCUCAACUACAUUCCCCCAACCAACUUCCAAAUUAUACACAUUCUCCUGUUUCUCCUUUUUUUACCCCAACUCACCCAUACCUCAGACCACAGUUUCCACAAAUGCCCCCCUCACCCUCCCAGCCUCGACCCCCUAAGCUACAGCUAAUUCCUUUUGACGGAUCUGAACCAUUGGACUGGUUGUUCCAAGCUGAACAAUUUUUUCAGCUAUACCAGGUUCCAACAGAUCAGCGACUGCAUAUUAUAUCCUUUUACAUGAAGGGAGAAGCCCUAAGCUGGUUUAAAUGGGCUUUUCACAAUGCCACUUUUAUUGACUGGGACAGUUUUACCCGGUGUUUGGAAUCUAGGUUUGGUCCUUCUUGCUAUGAAAACCACCAGGUAGAACUAUUUAAACUCCGACAAACGGGAUCAGUGGCUGAAUACCAAAAACAGUUCGAAAAACUUUGCAAUCGUAUUUGGGGACUCUAUCCCGAAGUCAUCCUAAACUGUUUCUUAUCUGGCCUUAUACCUGAAAUAAGGCGUGAAUUGGCUAUAUUACGCCCAUCUCAUAUUGCUGAUGCCUUGGGAUUAGCAAAAUUGGUGGAAUCUAAACUCAAAGACUCAAAACCCACAUUUACAAGACCUAUCCGUUAUACAACCCUCCCAGCCCAUAAUCCCCAACGACAAAUACCACGACCUACAUACCAAACUAACCCCAAUCCCACAACUUCAUCUCCCCAAUCUGCCCUACCCAUCCACCGUCUAACUAUUGCUCAAAUGCAAGAACGACGUGCCCAAGGCCUAUGUUACAACUGUGAUGAGAAAUACCACUCAGGCCAUAAAUGCCAACCAAAAAGGUUCAUGCUAAUGUUAAUAAAUGAUCUAGAUGAAACAGAAGAACCACUCUUGUCUGCUAUGGAAAUUGUGGAGGAGGACAUUCAGCCUACCCCAGACGAACUUAUUCAUUUUCAACUCUCCAAACAAGCUUUGGAAGGCCAACCAUCACCUAAGACACUGCGAUUCCAAGGAUCCAUCGCUGGUCAUUCUGUUACAGUUUUGGUAGACACAGGGAGCUCCCAUAAUAUCAUUCAACCGAGAUUGGCACACUUCCUACAGUUGGACAUUGAUCCUACUCCAAAGUUUCCGGUAAUGGUAGGGAAUGGUGCAUAUAUUUAUUGUACAGGGUUGUGCCCUAACACACCUAUACAACUCAAAAAUCAAUUGUUCUAUAUUCCCUUUUACCUAUUGCCUAUUAAAGGGGCUGAUGUGGAGCUAGGAAUUGAAUGGUUACGAACACUAGGCCCAGUCACCUCUGACUUUGCCAUCCCAUCAAUGUCUUUUAAGGUUGGGGACAAUACCAUCACCCUCCAAGGUGAGCCCACUACACCCGUUUCUCCUUCUACAUUCCAUCAACUUUCUCGCCUACUCCACACAGAUUCCAUUGCCUCAUUCCAUACCAUCACAUUCCUCCCCCUCCUAAACAGCCCAACACACACCACCGAAAUGAACCCAACUAUCAGCCCUCUCAUUCAAACUCUCCUCACGAGAUUUGACAAUAUUUUCUCCAAACCCCAAGGCAUCCCUCCCCCACGGCCCCACGACCACUCAAUCCCACUACUACCUAACUCUGCCCCUGUUUCAGUUCGACCUUAUCGAUACCCCCAUUCUCAGAAAGAAAUCAUGAUCACUAUGAUCCAAGAUAUGCUAAAAGAAGGGAUUAUCACACCUAGCACUAGCCCUUUUCUUCCCCGGUUCUACUGGUAAAAAAAAAAGAUGGCACAUGGAGAUUUUGCGUCGAUUAUCGGGCACUGAAUGCAAUCACUAUUCGUGAUCGCUUUCUGAUUCCCACCAUCGAUGAAUUAUUGGAUGAGCUCGGUGCAGCAACAAUUUUUUCUAAGAUCGAUUUGCGAUCUGGUUAUCACCAAAUAAGGAUGAACACAAGUGAUACAGUUAAAACAACGUUUCGGACAUUCGACGGACAUUACGAGUUUCUGGUUAUGCCGUUUGGGCUAACAAAUGCCCCCUCCACAUUUCAAGCAGCAAUGAAUGACCUUUUGAGGCCCCAUUUGCGGAGGUUUGUUUUGGUUUUCUUUGAUGAUAUCCUCAUUUACAGUUCGAAUUUAAAAGAUCAUCUCCUACAUGUGGAAAUUAUAUUGGACCUACUUGUUACUAACCAGUUUUAUGUUAAGUUUUCCAAAUGCCUGUUUGGUGUUGAUACAGUUAGUUAUUUAGGUCACAUUAUUUCAGCCGGGGUGGUAAGACCGGACCCCGACAAAAUCUAUGCAAUGCAGGAAUGGCCUCCGCCACGUUCUCACACGACUCUCAGGGGUUUUUUGGGCCUCACCGGUUUCUACAGAAAGUUUGUAAAGAACUACGCCACACUCGCUGCUCCUCUCACCGACCUACUUAAAUUACAGAGCUUUACAUGGACAAAUGAGGCACACAUCGCCUUUACAAAAUAAAAAAAAUGCUAUGUCUACAACUCCAGUGCUCCAUCUUCCGGAUUUCUCUCUGUCAUUCAAUGUGGAGACCGACGCCUCAACUGUUGCAAUCGGUGCGGUUUUGUCCCAAGAGGGACACCCUUUGGCAUUCUUCAGCAAAAAGAUGACGCCACGCAUGCAACAUUCUUCCGCCUAUGUCCGAGAGAUGUUCGCAGUGACAGAAUCUGUAAAAAAGUGGUGUCAGUAUCUUAUUGGGAGAAAAUUCAACAUUUACACAGAUCAGCAAAGUCUCAAACACCUGAUGACUCGGGGUUUCCACACACCAGAACAGCAGAAAUGGGCUACAAAAUUAAUCGGAUUCACUUUCGACAUUAAAUAUAGGCUUGGUACCUCUAAUCGAGUGGCAGAUGCUCUGUCUCGGUGUCAUUCCGAUGAAUCUAGCCAGUGUUUCUCGAUGACUUCCUCCAUUCCCCUACCGUUGGAUCGGCUCCGUUCUUUUUAUCAUACUCCAGCGGGACAGACAGUUGUCAAACAAAACACAUCUGGUCAUUUCCAUUUUUCACAUGGAUAUUUAUUCUAUAAACAGAAACUGUUCAUACCUGAGGGUGAUGAUCUUCGUCUCACUUUGAUGAAAGAAUUCCAUGAAUCUCCAAUAGCGAGACACUCUGGCUGGAGACCAACCUUGGCUAGACUUACAACCUCAUGCUCUUGGCCCAGGGUCACCAAGGACAUCAAGAAACUGAUCCGUGAAUGCUCUAUCUGCCAAACCAAUAAGUCCCUGCCACAGAAAUAACAUGGGUUAUUACAACCAUUAAAAAUCCCAAACAGGGUGUGGGAAGAUAUAUCCAUGGAUUUCAUAACACAUUUACCUCCUUCACAAGGGCAUACAGUAAUAUGGGUUAUUGUGGACCGACUCACUAAGUACGGUCAUUUUAUUGCCAUACUUACCCGAUAUUCGGCAGAAACAUUGGCACGUCGUUUCCUCAACGACAUAUGUAAACUCCACGGCAUACCGCAGAGUAUCGUGUCAGACAGAGACCCGACGUUCCUUAGUGGGUUCUGGAAGGAGCUUUUUAAGCUCUUAGGGACAUCCUUGCGCUAUAGCACAGCGUACCAUCCCCAAUCCGACGGUCAAACAAAAGUUGUCAACAGGGGAUUACAAACUUACCUGCGUUGCUUCACUGGCACCCACCCGAGUCGUUGGUUUCCUCAUCCCCCUCUGGCUGAAUAUUGGUAUAAUACCAAUCUCCAUUCAUCACUUCAAGUUACUCCUUUUGAAGCCCUCUAUGGCCGAGAACCACCAUCUCUUUGUGACUAUCUCCCGGGAACAUCUUCUCACCCACAGAUCCGUGAGAUCCUCCAAUCCAGAGCAAAUAUGUUAGUUACAUUAAAACAGAACCUUACACAUGCUCAACAACGCAUGAAGGCACACGCAGAUUUGGGAAGGAAAGAUAUUACCUUUACCGAAGGUGACUGGGUUUUGCUUCGGUUCCAGCCUUAUCGGCAACAAACAUUGACCCGACGCCGCUCCAACAAGCUCUCCCGGCGUUUUUAUGGGCCAUUCUAGGUGCACCGCCGUAUCGGUACAGUGGCUUAUGAACUUACACUACCACCGUCGGCUCGCAUUCAUCCGGUUUUUCAUGUGUCCUUACUCAGGCAAUUUUAUGGAGACCCGCUGGCUCAACAUAUCGAGCUACCACCGGAAGGAGCUCUACCUGAUGCACCACCGGAUCAACCAACCGAACCACUAACCACUCCCCGUGAAAUCAUUCUCCAUGACACACCAAACCGUGGCUCUGAAGAUGUUCAGAUAAAAAAAAUGAGGGAAGUUGCAUUGUCAAAGAAGGGAAAGGAGAUGGUUACAGGUUCUGAGAACUUACCACUGGAAGUCCACGGUGUGGUUGGUGCCAAGAACACACACCAUGUUGAAGAGCCCGUCUUGCUUGAUGGAAGCUCUUGGAAGGCUCCUGAGUUGGUGAAGGAUGUUCACCGUGUGGGGUUGAAACACAACACUAGGAGAGAGAACCAAUUAAGAGAAAAAGGUGUGGCUGGAAGUUUGAAUGCAAAUGUGUUAGAUUAUGAGAAUAUGGGACGAAGCAAGGCCAUUAAGUCCCUUGUGACUUUUUCUCCUCGUGCAGUCCGCCUGGUUAAUGCAGAACCGUUGGAUGAGAGAGUUUCAUCUCAUCCCUUAGAUCCCCUGCACACUUCUGCAUUUUCAUUAAAGUGUCCCAUGUCUCGAGGUGUACUAAAGGGACAACCCCAUGUUUUUCCACUGGACAAAUCUGGACGGUCCAUUCAAUUGCCAACUAUGGCGCCAAAAAUAAUCCAACCAUCAUUAGACGCCAGCUGUGUCCCACCUCUAAGUGACCGUUCUCUUGCUGGCCAGCCCACCGAAUUUUCUACACACCUUGAGGACAAGGUGCCUCUUCAAGCGGUGGGUGAUGAUAGGAGCCCAACUCCUAUGAAGGUUGACUACAAUGUACAAAGGCCCAUAAGAACUAAACAAAGACCUAAGUGGUUAUCUGACUUUGUGACUGAACAUUAAAUAGUUUUAUUUAAAUCCUUAAUUUUAGAAUGGGCCUAUGUUGUUAGCCCAAUUCAAUAGUGUAACCCUAAAAUGCUCUAGCUUCUGUAUUUAAAUCUGUGGCUGCUGAUGCCUAGGAGCUAUGAAUGAAGAUAUUUUUAGUAUAAUUUCCUGUUUCUUCUAUUAAUAUUCUGCAACUUAAUUAAAUAUUUAGUGAGAUCCUAACACAAAUAAAUUUAGACAAGCUCUGAUUGAAUAGAAUGAGGAAAUUUGUGCUCUAGAAAGUAAUUUUGAAAAGGUGCUCAAUCAUUGGAAAUGAAAUAAGAAACUAAGAAAUAGCGCUUGAAAUUUGAAUAUUUUAGCAAAUGGCUGAAAAUAUAGAAAAGCAACACCACACGCAUUGACUUAGAAUUUGGAAAACUGCUAAAUUCUGACUAAUCAUACUUCAAUGACACUUGACUUCAGAUUUCUUUUAUUAACUAACAAAAUUAGAAAAUAAUCAUUGGAAAAUUAAAUCCAACACAUCUCUAUAUAAUUUUUUUUAGAGGAUGAAGUAUCUCUUGGUGUGAGGAGAUAAUUUCUCUCAUUACACCAGUUAGGUAUUGACACAUGAUUAUUUUUUACUUAUUUUAAAAAUUAAUAAAAAAACAAAAAGUAAAGUAAUACAUGUGUCUAUUAAUGAAUGAGUGUGAUAAGAUAAUUUCUCUCCUAACAUCAGGACAUACAUUAUUCUCUUUUUUUAAGAAUAAUAUUUGUUAAGUGUUUAAUAUUUAUAUAUUAAUACUAUAAGAAUUUUUAUAUUAUCAUUAUAUUAUACUCCACUUAAUUCUAUUACUUCCAUUUAAAAUUAUUAAUGAUUAACAUACACCCGGUAUAAACUUUAUUUUUAAUACUCCAUAGUUAGUUACAUAUUAUAAAAUCUAGUUUCAAGAUUUCAAAUUAAUAACAAUUUUCCAGUUUUAACAUUCCAAAAAUGGAUAUAUAUAUAUAUGUAUGGUGUCUACCCAACAACCUUUAUAACUACCCUGGUCAUAUAUAAAAGGUUAGUUUGAGAGUUAAAUUUUGAAGAGGAAAGAGAAAUGGAAGAUUUGAGACCAUGAAAUAUAUUUGUAGGAUGAUUCACAAGUCUUAUAUUUUCAUUUAUUCCCCUUCAAAAUCCAACUCUUAAACAAACUCUAGGUUAUCUUUCCUGGAAGCAUUCUUCAACUAUUGGCUCCAAUUUCCCUCUUUCCAUCUCAAACAUUAUAUAAUAUAACUCCAUUUUUAAAUUCUGUCUUCAAAAUUCAAUGAAAACGUGUAUAGUACUUUUUUUUAAGACUUUUAUACUAUUAUUAGCCUACAGUAUAGAAAUUGUUUAAGCAACAUACAUUCUCCCGAGUGCUGGAAUUUAGGAUUUUAAUUUAUUAACCGACUUUAAUAUUGAACAAAACAUCCCCUAAGACAGUACAAGGUCCUAUUUAUUUUUCACCACUAAAUCACAGAACAAAUCUUUUUUUUUAUAAUGCACUAAAUUUAUGAACCUCUACUUUUUCUAGGUUGCUGGUUGACAAUAAAAACAUUAGUGUGUAACAAAAUAUAUACAUGCAUUAAGAGUUUAAUCACUUAAUGGGUCAUGUGGUUGAAGCGUUUCAAACUAGGCUUUGUUGGCUUGAAAGCACCCACUAUCUGCCACUAUAUUAUGUAUUUCUGAGGGAAAUAUCAAUGCACCUUUGAUUAGAAGUUAAUUAACUGUUUCUUUCUGGGAAGAUGUACAUUAUCAUAGAUUUAACAAAGAGUGUAGUAAAUUUGUAAAAUUUUAUACAUAAUAUAUUAUCAUUCAUUACUCAUGUGUGUUAUUAUAUUUAAGAGUAAAUAAUAAUUAAAUAUGAAUGAUAGAUGACAUAUUAAUAUUAACAAUGUAAAAAACUUUCAUAUUGUCUCUACAUAUUUUUUUUCUAUUUAACAAAUAAUUAACAUUUUACCUGAUUUAAUAAUGUGUUUUACAAUUAAGGUACAAAUUAAAUAGAUCAUGUCUUUCUUUAUACUGACUCGACCUAUUUAACAGUUUAAACCUAAUCUAUUUGAAUGUUUAAUAUUUUCUGAGGCAUGAGACUAACAUGCUUAAAUGUCUAGAUUGACUUAUUAGUUUAUUUAAAAGUUUAUUAUAAUAUAAGAUAUUUAAAUAUACCAAUAUGAUUUUAAAUAGAUUAAUAGAUUUCUCUUAAAAUUGACAAAUUGAAUAUCCUAAUGUUAAAUUUCCUAUAAGAUAUACAUAUUUUUUAUUUAUUUCAUUAUAUAUUAUAUAAAAUAAUUAAUAUAAAUAUAUUAUUAAAUUAUAUAGGUUGGUCUAUGAGGCUUAAUAAGUUUUUUAAGAAGCUUGAACCUGACCUAUUUAUAUUAAAUAGACUUAUCGAAAACUCAGAGUUGUUUAAUAAAAAGAUGUUACCUAGUUUGUUAUAGGUCAAGUAUUAAAUCCCUACUAAGUGGACUAGUAUGUUUUUAAUUACCAUGGUUUCCCCUUUAAUUGUAGCUUAAGGACAAUUAACACCUACAGUUCUAUUUUGAUGCAAUUGCUGAAGGUAGUGAAACAUAUGUUUAAUAUCUUAGUUAAAACAUUAAUAUUGAUGAUGUGUAUCUUUAAAGCAAAGCAUGGAUGGUACGUGAUGUAUGUGGAUCAGGUUUGAUGUAUCCUUCACAAAAAUUAUGUUCCUGCAUUGGCCUAAGCAGCAUAUACAAUGUAGCGUACAUUUCUAAAGAUUUAGGAUCGUUGUCAGGCCUGAGGAGUGGUAAUUGGAAAAUUAAAAAUAAUUGCAUAGAAUUUCAGGGAGGUGAGAAAAAAGAAGUACAACUUUAUCCAUUCCAUCAUAUUCAUUUCAAAAAUCCAAUAAUACUUAAAGUAUGGAAGUUAAAAAUAUCUAGAGAUAAAACGAUAUGGACAGUACAAAUAGUCAGAUCAUGCACAAUACAGCUUAUGCUAAAAAGCAUCAUAAUUAAUCCAAAUAUAGUCCUCAGACCAGGACUUAAUUGAAUUCGUUUGGGCUUGUUGUUUAGGUUCUGGGCCUACCAUUACCUAACCCGAUGGUGCAGUGGAAAUAAGGGUGGAAACAGGCUAGACUAGAUCAGACUUUGUCUUAAACAUGCUCAGCAUAUUUAGCAUAUAGGAGCCUGAGGCUGACCUGAUAGUCUGUUUAAAAAAAGUUUCAAAGUCUAGGCCUGACCUGUUUAAAAGUCUGACCUGUCCUGUUAGCCUCUUUAAAAGCCUAUUAUACUAUAUGCUCAUGAAAUAGGCUACAAUGUCUACAUUUUAAUGAACUUAUAUGCUUAUUUUUAGUUAGGCACAUCUAAUUCUAAUUAUUAAAUUAUAUUUCUAUAUUAAUAUUACAUACAUAUACAUAUAUAUAUAUAUAUAUAUAUAUAUUCUGUUAGGUUUAAUAGGCCUUUUAGGUGGCCUAAAGCAUGACCUGUGAAGCUAAACAGACUUUUUAGAAAGUCUGAGCCUGAGUUGUUCGUGAAAAAAGUCUGGCUUGCCAUAAUUUGUUAUAGGCCAGGUAAUAGGCUCCUGAUAGGCAGUCUGGCCUGUUUCCACCCUUAAGUGGAAACGAUUAUUAAUAAUGUUGGCCAAAAAUAUCAUUAACAAUUAAAGCAAAGCGCAUGAGGCCCGCUUGCACUUAUUGGCGAUGAGGGCAUGAAAAAUAUAUUCAUCCACCGUAAAAUACCCGCCUAAUAUGUCAUAUUCACCAACAAACAUUUUCAAACGGGAAAAAUGGUCGGUCCAUAUGCAUUAUUAGAGAAAGUAUUGAACAUCAAAUAUGCAUAUAUAUGUAUUAUUUUUCAAAUGUGAGAAAAUGUGUUCCAUUUGUAUAUCAAAUAUGAGAAAGAACUAACUUUUCUUAUUAUAUAUAUACAUUUGUAUUUUGUGUAUUAUAGAUAUCCAUAUGCAUUGUUACUUUUGUAUUUUGGAUGCAAAUAAUGUAUUAUAUAUGCAUUUGUAUCAUGUAUGUAUUAUUCAAUCUAUAUGACUAUUUAUUAUGAUAAAUACAUUUAUAUAUUUAUAUUCAAUUAUGUAUCUUUUAUUUUGUAUGACUAGUAUAUAUAAAAUUAUAUGUUUGUAUUUAUAUAUAUUUAAUUUAUUUAGGGCAACUCGCAAGCCCACCUUACCCAUAUUUAGGGCGAGUAAGACAUGAUAUUUCACGCCUUGAUUAAAAAUGGGCAUGCUCAUGUCCACCCUAAUUUAGGCGGGCAAUAUGUGGGCACAUGCAUGACAACUCUAAUUGACAAUACUAGCCAGAAACAAUCAAAUAAUGACAUAGAAUAAAUAGAAUACAAGAAAAUUUGACAAUGGAGUUCGGCCAAUUGUGCAUACAUCUCUGGGAGCACUGAACGACUAUUAAGAUAUUAUUAGAGAAUAAAGAUUAUAAGGUCUAAAGCCCAUAAGUCCAAGUUUCUAUAAAGUGUUUAUAUUUGGUACACGUAAUAAUAAAGGAUAUGAUUCAAAUAUAUAACAUUGACCAUCUACUCUAUUCUAAUACUAGGCAAUAUGAAACUUCAUAUAAUUACAUAUUUCAAACAUUUUCAACACAACCCAAUAUGAAACCUUGUCCUCAAGAAUCAGGGAUUGUGUCGAAUACACUAGUAGGUUCGAACCAAAGCCAACACAUGGAGUGGACCUUUCCAACUAUUGACGUGUGGAACACACACAAAUAGCAUGCACCAUGUGUUCCAAUGCGAUGUGGAGUGGACGAGUAGGAUUGGAUGAAACCAAUUGGACGGGAAUCCAAUAAUUCUAAUGAUUGAGAUUCACUUGGUGCCACCAUUCAUUUUCGAACAUGCCACUAUGAUGAAACUGAUACGACUAGGCAGGUUAGACAACUGCAAUACAUUGGGCGAUAAAGGGUAACUUUGACAAUGUAGUUUGGAUGUACUCUCCACCGGGAAAUACUUUUUUGUACUACCAAGAUAUUUUUUCACCAAGAUAUUGAAUCUCUCAAUAAAUGUCGCUCUCAAAAAAUUGAAAUCUCGAACUUGGAGAUCCAAUGGAAACAGAAAACACAUUGACACACAGAUCAAGGUCUUCAAAGUAGAUUGUUUAAGGAAUUUUGGGUUACACAUGUAGUGUUUAAAUGUGUUUAGGGUCAUUAUUUUAAGUAAUCAUACUAAAGUGAUAUACUUCAAGAAAGAUAUAUGGUUAUAGACAUAAUUGUCAUAAAAAUUGUUGUGUAGAUAUCUAAAGUCUUAUUUCUUUUUUUAUGAUGGGCAUUGGACAAAAAUAAGAAAUAAGAAAAUUGAAAAAGCAUCACCCUUAAUGAAAGAGAAUGUUUGUCUUAUAAAUAUGGGUUAUGGUCCCUAAUUUUAGACAACACAUAACACAACAAGAACCACACUACAUGCAAACAUGUCAUUUUCUUCAUAAGGCUAAGAGUAUCUACAAUUGGAAGACCAAAGAACCUACAUGUUCUAUAUGAACAUGCAUUUGCAUACAAGGACAAUGAACAUGGAGUUGAUGAAUACAUGAUGAAGGAUGACAUAAAGUUAUUCACCAUAUAUUCUCUAUGAAUAUAUUAAGGUACACUUUCGCUCUAGUUCUAUAUAUCUAUUUUUGAUGAUUUGACAUGAAAGAUCUUGACAAUAUAUGAUAAUAUUAUUGUUCAUCAUCUUCAGUAGUAUUCAUUAUUUAAGUAUAUAAAGUCUUCUAUCAUUAAAGUCUUCUAUCAUUAAAGUCUUCUAUAAUAAAGAUUUUUCCUACAAGUGGUAUCAGAACCACUUUCAUGUGAUGUCAUUGAGAAUUAAAGUUAUCAAGUAAUACUUUUGAGAGUAUGUGGUAGAAUUGUCUUUAUGAAAAUUCGUUGUCUCAUUGGUUUUGAUUCAAGUUGAUACAAAAGAUUAUUGAUGGUCAUGAUAGACAAUUCCAUGAAAAUAUGAGGGUUUCAUGUUCUAAACCAAACCUCUGAUUUGUUUUGGAAUUAAACAUUCAGAAACUAUAAAAUACAUUUUACUUGCCAAAACAUAAUAUUUGUGGCUUGGUCUCUGGUUGAAUUGUUUGGUUGUUCUUGUUUCAAGAUGCGGAUCUUGUAUUCUAAAUCCAUUCGGUGGAUUUUUUUAGAAUUUUUAAAUGUUAAGAUUGUUGAAACAGAAAAUAUAAUUCAAGUAUAGAAAAGAUAGUUAGAACUUACUAGAAAUAGGAGUUAGUUGCUUAGAAGUUAGUUGGUAGUUGAAACUUUAUUCUAUAAGUAGAAGGCAAUGUAUUUUGUUUCAAGUUGAAUAAGAACAUAUACACACUUCAUUCAUAUACUUUCAUUUCAUCCUCACUGCAUAAUCUUCUUCUCAUCUAUUUCUCAAUCUCACCUCAUCCAUUCUGGUUUCUAACAAACUGGUAUCAAGAGCCAAAACAAAGAAGAAAGGAUAUGUGGUCAGAAGGAACAAGGAAGAGACGAAUUCAGGGGGAGAAGAAACUCAGAUCAAUUGCUGCAAUUGUUGGUAGAGCCUUAAUCCGAGGAAAAGACCAGAAGGCAGAGGCAGAUUCAUCAAAACAAGAAAAUGGUUGACAAUGGUAGCAAUCUCCCAUCAAUGGGGCUCCUUAUUCUAACAAACAAGAAUUGGGAUAGAUGGAGAACACAAAUGAAGGUACUAUUCAGUUUCCAAGAAGUGAGUGAGGUGGUAGAAGAUGGAAUACUUCAACUGAAUAUCGAAGCAAAUGAAGUGCAGAGAAACACAUUCAAAGAUGCCAAGAAGAAGGACAAUAAAGCAUUGUUCUUGAUUCAUCAGUGUGUAGAUGAUGUGCACUUUGAAAAGAUUCAGAAUGCCAACAAUGCAAAGGAAGCUUGGGAUAUCUUAAUUCGAAGCCAUGCUGGUGGAGAUAAGAUAAAAAAGGUAAAACUUCAAACCCUUAGGAGACAAUAUGAACUACUAAACAUAGAAGAAAGUGACAGAAUUGGUGAUUAUUUCACCAAGAUUCUAGCCAUCACCAACCAAAUGAAAGGCUACAAAGAACAUAUAUCAGACAUCAUGAUAAUUGAGAAAAUCAUGAGGUCCUUGCCUUAGAAAUUUGACUUCAUCAUUGUGGUAAUAGAAGAAUCAAAGGACAUCAAUGUGAUGAAAAUUGAGGAACUUCAAAGCUCCUUGGAGGAACAUGAAAUGAGAUUACUUGAGAGGUAUCCAAACAAGAAAGCAGAACAAGCUCUAAAAGCAAGUCACUAUAGAGAAGAAGAGAAGAGAAAAGACAAAAGAUGGAAAAGGAAAUAGCUAAGGAAAUGGCCUAUGAAUUCUGAAAGAAACAAGUCCAGUCAUGAUUGGCCUGAAUCUUCUGAUAGAAGAGGAGGGUCAAGAAUGAGUCAGAAUCAAAAGAAAUUUGAUAAAAGAAAGGUGGAGUGUUACAACUGCCACAAACAAGGCCACUACUCCUAUGAGUGCUAUACAGACAAAGCAAAACCAAAGAAGAGUGAAGAAGCUUACACUGCACAAGAAGAAUCAGACCUAGAACCACUAAGCUUAAUGGUGACAACCUAUGCAGGAGAUGCUCAGACAAAGUCAUGGUACUUAGACUCAGGUUGCUCAAACCAUAUGACAAAGUACAAGGAAUGGUUGACUGAUUUUGAUUCCUCAAAGAAGAGCAAGGUAAAAUUUGCUGAUGAUAGCUCACUUGAAGUGGAAGGAACAGGCAAUGUAGUUAUAAUGAGACAGAGUGGAUCAAAAGCCUUGAUAUCAAAUGUACUCUAUGUUCCCAAGAUGAAAUGUAAUCUACUUAGCAUAGGGCAACUGGUGGAGAAAGGGUUCAGUGUUUUGAUGAAGAAUGGUAUGCUUGAACUUUUUGAUCCAGACAAGAGACUCAUAAUAAGGAGUAAGUUGACAAAGAACAGAACAUUUCAAGUGGAUAUCAAGGUAGCUGAAGUAAAAUGUUUGGCCACUAUUGAAGCCAAAGGUGUAAGUUGGUUGUGGCACUCAAGAUAUGGGCAUUUGAACUUCACAAGUCUGCAACACCUAGGCACAAAACAAAUGGUCACAAGGAUUCCUAUAACUUCUCAGCCAGAAAGAGCCUGUGAGGUUUGCUUGAUUGGGAAACAAACCAGAAACUCCUUCAAGUCAGAAGCGUACAUGAGAUCAAGAUCAGUCCUAGAAGUGGUUCACUCAGAUGUUUGUGGUCUAUUUGAAACUCCCUCACUAGCUGGAAACAAGUAUUUCAUUAUAUUUGUUGAUGAAUUUAGUAGGAUGGUUUGGGUAGAAAUGCUAAAAGUCAAGAGUGAAGCAUUUUAAGCAUUCCUAAACUUCAAAGCAUCAACAGAAAAAGAAAGUGAAAAACAACUCAAGGUGUUGAGAACAGAUGGAGAGGGAGAGUUUACCUCUAUGGAGCUUGAAAACUACUGUAGAAAACAAGGGAUCAAACAUGAAGUAAUCCCACCUUACACCCCACAACAUAAUGGCCUAGCAGAGAGGAGGAAUAGGACCAUCAUGAACAUGGCCAUAAGCCUGAUCAAGGAGAAGGAACUCCCACAAAAGCUAUGGGCAGAGGCUAUGUCAACUUCAGUCUACCUACUAAAUAGAUGUUCAACAAAGAAACUAGAGGGAAGAGUCCCUCUUGAAGUAUGGUCAGGAAGAAAACCACCUGUUGGCCACCUCAGAAUAUUUGGCUCAUUAGCUUUCAAACACACACCAGAUCAGAAGAGAACCAAGCUCCAAGACAAAAGUGAGGCAAUGGUGUUUGUAGGAUAUCAUCCUACUGGAGCAUACAGACUAUUUGACCCACUCAGAGAUAAAAUUCAGAUCAGUAGAGAUGUCCUGGUGCUAGAAGAUGAACAAUAGGAUUGGAAGAACAUGCACACAAGCCUGAAAAGAAUACUACCUAGACUAAAUGGAGAUGAGUCAACCACAGAAAAUCUGGCUGAAAGACCAAGUGAAGAAGGAGAACAAACAACAAAAGAAACAUCCUCAACUCAAAGAUCACAAAGGCAAAGAACAAGGCCUAUCAGAUUCAGUGAUUAUGAAGUGCACAAUGAUGAUCAGAUAGAUGAAGAAGGAGACCUGAUCCAUCUAGCAUUAAUGGCAGAAGCUUUACCAAUAGAUGAAACUGAGGCCAUAAAACAGAAAGUUUGGAAAGAUGCAAUGGAUGAAGAAAUUAGAUCCAUUGAGAAGAAUGAGACUUGGAACCUAGUUGAGCUUCCAAGGGAUAAACAUCAAAUAGGGGUGAAAUGGAUCUUCAAACAGAAGAUAAAUACUGAUGGAUCAAUCUCUAAAUACAAGGCCAAAUUAGUUGCAAAAGGCUUUCUACAGAAACAGGGCCUAGACUACACUGAGGUCCUUGCUCCUGUGGCACGAAUUGAAACAAUCAGGUUAGUUAUAGCCAUUGCUUGUGCAAGCAGCUGGACAUUGUAUCAACUUGAUGUAAAGUCAGCAUUUCUCCAUGGACCUCUGAUUGAAGAAGUAUAUGUACAACAACCUCCAGGCUUCAUAAUCAGUGGCAAGGAACACAUGGUUUACAAACUAAACAAGGCUCUAUAUGGCUUGAAGCAAGCACCAAGGGCCUGGAACAGAAGAAUUGACUCAUUCAUGGACAAACUCAGCUUCCAUAAAUGCUCAGUUGAGCAUAGAGUGUAUGUGAAAGAGGGAAACCAAGGAGAAUUACUCAUCAUCUGCCUAUAUGUUGAUGAUUUACUAGUAACUGGAUCCAGUUUCGAAGACUUCAAAAAGGUCAUGAAAGCUGAAUUUGAUAUGACAGAUCUAGGGAGGCUAAGUUACUUCCUUGGUAUGGAAUUUGCAUACACAACUUCAGGAAUACUUAUGCACCAAAAGAAAUAUGCAAGUGAGAUGCUAAUCAAAUUCAACAUGGACAACUGCAAUCCUGUAAUUACUCUUACUGAAUCUAAUCUGAAGUUAACAAGAGAUGAGGAUGGUGAGUCAGUAAACGAAACCAUAUUCAAACAAAUAGUUGGAUCUUUAAGGUUCCUAUGUAAUAGCAGGCCUGACAUCGCAUAUGGAGUGGGGUUAGUGAGAAGAUUCAUGUGCAAACCAAAGAAGACUCAUAUGUUGGCUGCCAAGAGAAUCCUGAGAUAUAUCAAAGGCACUUCAGACUAUGGAAUCCUAUUCCCAACAAUAAAAUAGAAACCAACACUCAAGCUAGUUGGUUUAUCAGACUCAAACUAUGGAGGUGAUCUUGUUGAGAGGAAAAGCACCUAUGGAUACAUCUUCUUGCUCAAUGAAGCUCCUAUCUCAUGGUGCUCCAAGAAACAAGAAGUAAUUGAUCUAUCAAGUUGUGAAGCAGAGUAUAUUUCAGGUUGUUAUGCAGCUUGUCAAUUCAUAUGGCUUGAAGAAUUACUUAAGGAGAUCAAGACAAGAGUUGAGAAACCUCUGCGACUCCUAAUAGACAACAUUUCUGCCAUCAAUCUGUCAAGAAACCCAGUAAGCCAUGGGAGAAGCAAGCAUAUCAAAGUGAGGUUCCAUUUUCUAAGGAACUUGGUGAAUAAAGGACAGAUUGAGAUUGUUCACUGCAAAACCGAGGGGCAACUAGAAGAUGGCUUCACUAAGGCUUUAAAACUAGAAAGGUUUAUAAAGCUAAGGAGAGGGAUAGGUGUUGAAUCUCCUAGAUACUUGAAUUAAGGGAGAAUGUUGAAACAGAAAAAUGUAAUUCAAGUUAGUUAGAACUUACUAAAAAUAGAAGUUAGUUGAUUAGUAGCUUAGAAGUUAGUUGGUAGUUGAAACUUUAUUCUAUAAAUAGAAGGCAAUGUAUUUUGUUUCAAGUUAAAUAAGAACAUACACACACUUCAUUCAUAUACUUUCAUUUCAUCCUCACUGCAUAAUCUUCUUCUCAUCUAUUUCUCAAUCUCACCUCAUCCAUUCUGGUUUCUAACAAAGAUAAAAGUUGAUUGGCAAUAGUUGCCAACAAAUGAUUAAUGGUUGUACUGGUUUAAGAACCACAUAAAAUGUACAUGAAUAUAGCCAAACAUGAUAGCUGUAUAAGUGAUAUUUACAGUGAUGAUGUUUCAAAUGUUUUCCUUUUUUUGAAACAUUUUGUGUCAAUAUAAUUAUCAUUUAUUGUAAAUCCUUCCAAUGUCGUUUAACGUUGCACUGUUUGGAGAUAUUUUGGUUAAAAACUUGACUACGGGUUGCGGGUUUAACACUUGCCAACUGUAAAGAAAUUAUUAUUUUUUGCAUUGUAUCAAGUUAUUGAAUUUACUGAAUUUAUCAUUUUCUCAUUCAUUGAAAACUGAAUAAUGAGUGAAGAACUCAUUUAUACAAGUGUUAUAACAAACUUGCCAAAAACAGAAAUAACUAACACUAGGCCAGAGUUAUCGUUCAACAACGCUCACUUUAGAUGUAUAACAUCGCUUUCAUGCGCUUUCUAUUUGACCGCAGUAGUACGUGAUCAUCAUUAACAAUGCUUCACAAACGUUGUUGUAUUGAUUAUAUGCCACAACAUAACACAUAAAAGCGUUGUCAUAUAGUGCAUCAAUACAACAACGCCUCGUCCACAAAGCGCUGUCAUAUACUCUUAAAUAAACAACACAUUUUAUAGGUAUUAUUAACAACGCUUGUUGCGCUGUUGAAGUUCAUAUAUUUAAUAAUGCAAUAACAGAAAAACGUUGUUGUAUUAUUCAUAAAUUUUCUCAAACAACACAUUAAUACAACUGCGCACAACAUGCAUAGUGCUGUUGUAUUAAUAAUGUACCACAACGCUUUCUUUAAAAAGUGCUAUUGUAGUUAUCCUUUAUAACAGCGCAUGUCAGGGCUUCCCCUAGAAUUAAAAUUUCAACAACUAAAAAACAUAUACCACUCAACCAUUAAUAUUUCAACAAAUGACGAGACUCAUUACUACUCCACCAUUAAUUUCUCGGACGCUUAAAAAGUCGUAAAACAUCAACAAUGCAUAAUUAAGCAAACACGAUUACUAUGUCAUCUUCAAUAAUGAUUCCUUAAAUAUGCGUUGUUGCAUAUAUUCACAUCAACAUCGCUUCCUUUCAAAUGCGCUGUUAAAAAUUAAUCAUUCAAGCCAGUGCUAACGUUACUGAUGUUCAACAAUGCAUUGUCAAGAAUGUGCUGUUGAAGUUACACAACUUGAUAGCGUCUGCUUUAUUAUGCGCUGUUGAUGUUCUUCCGCCUCAUUUUCAACAGCAUCGUUCAAAAUUGCGCUGUUGAAUGACCGCUAUUUAUUACGAUAUCUGGCGUAGUGUAACUAAGGCAGUUAGUAACUGAUUUUCCUAAAUAGGAAAGAAUGAAAAUAAACUUAAUUCCAAGUAAGAAAGUUAUGCUAUAUUUCACCAAUAUGCUCCAAUACCACCUUGCAAGUUGGUGAGUGAAUGUUAAUCACACCCACCUUGUGAAGAAGAUAAGAAAAAGUCGAGACAUCUAAGGCUUUAGUAAACAAAUCAGCAGGUUGUUCUGAUGUUGGAAUUGGCAGCAAAUGGAAAAGAUGAGAUUGAAGCUUCUCCCUCACAAUGUGGCAAUCAAUUUCGAUAUGUUUCGCCCUUUCAUGAAACAUCAAAUUGGCAGAAAUAUACCGAGCCGAAUCGUUGUCACAAAACAUUAAAGUAGGCUUGAUGAAGGAUACAUGAAAGCUUUCCAACAAAUAAGAAAGCCACUAAAUCUCACAUGUUGUUGCAGCAAGGUCCCUGUACUCAGCUUCACAAGAGGACCUAGCAACAGUAGUCUGCUUCUUGGAUCUCCAAGAGACAAGUGAAUUUCCAAGAAAGACAUAGAAACCAUAUAUUGAAUGCCAUGAAUCAAUGCAAGUAGCCCAGUCAGAAUAAUUAAAGGCUUUAAGUUGGAGAGAGGAGUUUGAAGGAUAGAAGAGCCCCUGUCCAGGAGUGCUCUUGAUGUAUAUGAGAAUCCUUGUGAGUGCUUAAUGAUGUGCAUUGGUAGGGUUACUCAUAAAUUGGCUAAGUUGUUGAACUGCAAAACUUAAAUCUAGUAUGGAGUUUGUGAGAUAGAGUAAUUUGCCAACCAAGCGCCUAUAUGAAGUGGGAUCUGAGUAAACACCAGUGUUAUCUAGAGGUAGAGUAGUGCCUUUGGCAAGUGGAGUUGCAGCAGACUUGGAUGCCAAGAAACUAGUGCUAACUAAAAUUUCUAAUGUGUAUUUCCUCUGACUCAAAAUGAUCCCCGUUUUAGAUCUAGCAAUCUCAAGACUAAGGAAAUAUUUGAGGGGACCCAUGUCUUUGAUUUUGAAGAGAUCAUGAAGUUAUUGUUUCACUGAAUUGAUUUCAGAGAUGCUAUUUCCAGCCAAGAUCAAAUCAUCUACAUACACAAGCAAAUAAGUGAAACUAUAGGAUGUUACCUUGGUAAAGAGUGAGUGGCCAUGAGGAGAUUGUUGAUAACCUAAGUGCAGAAGAGUAUUAGACAACUUGCUAUACCAUUGUCUGCUUGCUUGCUUUAAACCAUAAAGGGAUUUAUGAAGCUUGCAUACUUGGUUAGGCUUAGAACAGACCAACCCUUGAGGAAUACUCAUAUAUACUUCUUUAGUCAAGUCACCAUGCAGAAAUGCAUUGUUAACAUCUAGUUAGUGCAAUACCAAAUUUUCAGAAGCAUCAAUGGCCAAUAUUAAUCUGACAGUAGUGAGCUUAACUACUGGAGCAAAAGUAUCAAAAAAAUCAACCCAUUUUGUUUGAUGGUAGCCCUUGGCUACUAAUAUGGCCUUAUACCUCUCAAUGCUUCCAACUGACUUGUAUUUGAUCCUGUAAACCCACUUGGACCCAAUUGGAACUUUGUCAUUUGGUAAAUCAACAAUGCUCCAAGUAUUAUUGAGUUCUAGAGCCUUAAGCUCAUUUUCCAUAGUAGUGAUCCAUUGUGAAGAUUCGAUAGCUUGAUGGUAAUACUUAGGUUCAGGAUUGGUUGACAUAGAAAGAACAUGAUGUAAGUGUGUAGGAGAAAUGGAGGAGUAUGACAUAACAUAAGAAAGAGAAUGAACUACAUUGGUUUCUUUGUAAGAGUUGGUAGUAGUAUGAAAAAGAUUGUAGUGAAAGUCAUGAAGAUAUGUUGGGGGAUGUCUUAUUCUAGUUGAUUUUCUGGUGGAAGGUAUGUUUGUGGUUUGGACAGACUCAUUGAAUGGGAAGGAGAGAUAAGGAUGGUGUAUAUGUGUGUGUGUUUGGGUCAGGAUGUGUGAUUGUAGGGUUGGUUCAAUAGGUGUAUGGGUUUGUGUGUUUGGUUGAAUAAGAUGAGUGAGGAAGAGAGGACUGAUCAAUCUAUUAAUGAGGAAAGUUGAUAAGGCUAAUAGUUAUUAUUGAGAUCAGGCUAACAGUUAUCAUUGAGAUCAGGCUAAAGUUGAUAAGGUUGAAUAAGAUGAGUGAGGAAGAGAUGGGUUUGUGUGUUUUGCAUAUGAGCUUUUGCAAUCAUCCUUAUCAUUGAGAUCAGGCUAACAGUUAUGCAAAAGCUCAUAUGGUGACUCAUGUUGCAGGAUAAGAUUGAUCAAUCUAUUAAUGAGGAAAGUUGCAUGUUGAACAACAUAUGACAAAAACACCUUAGGGAGUUUGGCUUGAAACAACAAAGCUCUAGUUACAUUAAGUAGGUGCCUAUGCUUCCUUUCAACAACUGAAUUUUGCUGAGGGGUUUUAGUGCAUGAGGCCUGGGGAAUUAUUCCAAGUCUACCAAAAUAAGAUGGUGCAUUAAAUUCAACGCCAUUAUCUGUUCGAAUGACCUUGAUGACUGCAUUGAAUUGUGUAUGUAUGAGUGUAACAAAGUUAUGCAUCAAUGUUCUUGCCUCAGAUUUGGCUCUCAUAAGAUAUAUCCAAGCAUGUCUACUGAAAUCAUCCAAAACAGUAAGAAAGUAUUUGAAACCAUGCACAAAAGGAACUGAUAAAGGUCCCCAAAUAUCCAUAUGAAUGAGAUCAAAGGAUUCAGAACAUCUAUGCAUUUUAUUAGGAAAUGACAACUUUGUUUGUUUAGCUAAGUGGCAAAGAUCACAUAUCUUGUGUGAAUCAAAAUGUACAUAAGCAAAUUUUUUACAAAUGCUUUGCAACAUAGAAUUAGCAAAACAAGAUACUGAAUUAGCAAAACAAGACUUCUCUAAUAAUUGUCUUGAAGGUCCAGAUAGAAUGUAGAGAUUUUUCUGCACUCUAGCAUGUCCAAUCAUCUUCAAGGUACUCAUAUCCUGAAUCAUGCAUUAAGAUUUGUCAAAAAUCACUCUGCAGCGCAAGGCUGUAGCAAGUUUAUGUAUUGAAAUAAGGUUGAGUUUGAAUUCAGGAACAAAUAACACAUUGUGUAGUACCAAUGACUCAGAAAACACAACCAUUCCUGAAUGUUUUUCCUUAACAACAGAACCAUUUGGAAGUUUAAUAUUGACUGGAUUGAUUAGAUGAUAAGUAACAAAACUAAAAAAAUGUGGACAUACAUGAUCAGUUGCACCAGUAUUAAGAAUCUAGGGGUGAGUAUGACCUGAAUUAUGUACAGAAUUCUUAUGAUCAUCUGCCUCAUCAAUUGGCAUAAUGCUGAGCUCGUUUACCUUAUGAGUCAUGGAAACUUUUCUAGUAUUGCUAAUCAAGGAAGAAAGUUUUGCAUAUUGAGCAAGGUUGAAAUCGAGAGUAGGUUUUGUUGUGCUUUCCAUUUGUGCAUCAUCAUCUUGACAUUCAACUGAUACUGCAUUAACAUUAGUUGUGUUAUGAAUUUUGUUUCCAUCUGACUUUACUUUCUGCAUUCCAAAAUUGGGAGGAAAUCCAUGCUUACAAUAGUAUACAUCAGCAGUGUGUCUCUCUUUCCCACAAAAAGUGCAGACCUUAGUAUUGCUUGUUCUUCAUGAUACAUAACCUCUACCAAUACUUCUCCCUCUACCUUGGUAGUUUAUGUUUCUGCCGUUUGUGUUUCCUCUGUUCAUACAUCCUCUCCAUUGAUGUGAUGAGUUAUUAUUCUAUUGAGUUCUUGACUCAUUUGAGUUGAAUAAAGCUUUGGUAUUUACACCACUAAUCUGUCUUUCUUGUUGUGAUAAUAAUGAAAAAGCUUUGUUAAUUGUUGGUAAAGGCUCCAUCAACAAAAUUUGAGCCCUUGUUGUGUUAAAAUCAUCAUUUAAUCCUUUCAAAAAACACACAACAUAUUCUGAAUCUCUAUAAUUCUUUACUAGUUUCAUUGCAUUACACUUACAUUUGAUCACACAAGUGCAUGAUAGCAGUGGUCUCAAUGACUCUAGGUCUUCCCAAAUAAUCUUCAAAUCAGUGAAAUAGCUUGAAAUGCUACUAUCUCCCUAUUUGAUUGAGUGCAAUUCUUGUAACAAAUCUGAAAUUUGAAAAAAAAUCCCCUUCUGAAAACUUAUCCUUCAAAUCUUUCCAUAACUUGAGCAUUAUCUAUGAAAAUCGUGCUUUGUGCUAUUUGUGUUGAUAAGCACCUUGUAAUCCAUGAAAUAACCAUGAUAUUACAUCUUUCCCAAACAUCAAAAUUUUGAUAUGUUGGAUUAUGCACUGGAGUAGAACUAUCAACGAAUUUGUACUUGUUUUUUUUAUGAUAAUGCAUGCCUCAUGCUUAUGCUCCAUGAUUGAUAAUUUGAUCCAUCAAGUGGUGUAGAAACCAGAAUCGCUCCAGGAUUCUCCCAUGAAUGCAAGUAAAAUGGAUGCCCAGGGUUUUAUGAUUGAACAUCAUUGUUGUGUGUUGUGAUAUGUGGAUCAUAUUCUUGUGUUUUUGAACCGUAAUUCGCCAUUUGAAUGAAGAAGGAAAGAAAUCGCAGAUUGAGAUAAAGAAUGUGUGAAGAGAUGAAGAAUAUGUGAAGAGAUGAAGAAGCUUUAAGAAUGUGAAAGAAAGAAGAUGAAGAAAAACGCUUUUAUGAAUCAAUCAGAGUUUGGUAGCGGUAUUCAGAGCUAAUUAGCUCUGAUACCAUAUUGAAUUUACUAAAUUCAUCAUUUUCUCAUUCAUUGAAAACUAAAUAAUGAGUGAAGAACUCAUUUAUACAAGUGUUAUAACAAACUUGCCAAAAACAAAAAUAACUAACUAAGGCAGUUAGUAACUGAUUUUCCUAAAGAGGAAAGAAUGAAAAUAAACUUAAUUCAAAGUAAGCAAGUUAUGUUAUAUUUCACCAAUAUGGUCCAAUACAAGUUUUGAGACUUUCAGUAAAAUAUAAGUACAUUUAAUUCUCAAAUGUCAUAACUGUUGAUGACCUGUUUCAGUGGUACACUCGUUUAUUGCAUCUUUAAAAAUAAAAUGUGAAACAUAUCCAAUAAAUAUUAGUAAUAUUUGUUGCCAUUUGUUACAAUUAUGACUGAAUGUGUUGAGUGGCAGUGUUUCAUAUUAAGGUCCUUUUAUACACUCAUCAAAUGCAUGUUAGAAAUUAAACUAGUAAAUAUGUUUGAAGUUGUCAGACAACACACCAAAUCUGGCAAACGUUACAACCUUGGAGUGCUGCAGGUGGGUUUCAAACCUGAAAAUGUUGGGUGGCCUUACCACUAGGCUGUCAGUGUAACUUGGAAAUUUGGUUGCCAUAUUAUAUAUGUAUAUGUUGCAUAUAUGUAAAUAGUGUAUAUAUUUUGGAUUAAGUGUUUAAUCAAAUUCAAGUGAAUGAUAUUUUUUGGAUUAUAAAAUUAUUUGACAUUUUAAGUAAACUUAUGAAAACAAGAAGUCACCAAAGUGACAUUUUUGUGUUAAAAGUUCAAAAUAAAUAUCAAAUACUAGUAUGUAUAUCUAUCCAUGCAAAUAUUAAUCUGCCCAAAGGAAGAUUAUUAUUUGGCCGGAUUAUAUACACACAUGUAAAGGUAAACAUGUGAUAAUUAUAAGGUUGCAUAUGUGAAUGAUAAAUCAGUGCAAAGAAGGAUUUAUUAUUUGACAUGCAUUAUGAUCAUGUUUGACCAUUACAACAAAACUUCCCAUUAAUUGACAAUUGAUAUGAAAUUUUAAGCCAAUUGUAUGUUUGCAUUUUAUGCGAAUAGUAAUCAGCCCAAAGGAAGAUUACUAUUUGGCCAAAAUUGCAAACAUACUUGUGGUAAUAAAUAUGUGAUAAUCAUAUGGUUUUCCAUGUGAAAUGUAAGUCGGUUUAAAGAAAGACUUAUUGUUUGAUAAGACUGGUUAUUAAUAUUUGAUUAUUAUAUGUAGUGUACCACUUAUAGGUUAAUAUUUUUGUCCAAAUACUGAAUAUUAAUGUUGUACUAGGUAACUGUGGUGUGCCCCACCAUUAUUUGAAUCUAAGGUUUAAAGUUAACUGUGAGUUUAAUUACAAGAAUUAUUGCAAUUUGUUUUGUUCUUUUUCUAUUGAAUUCGAUGCUUUUAUAAUGUUUGUACAUAUCUAUUCUGCAAUCUUCCUAAAUUGCACUAACUUUAAGAAUUAAGGAGAGAACAUUGUGUUUGUUCUCAAAUGCAUGAAUCUAGACAUUGCACUUUAGAAAUGAACAAUUCAUUAAUUUUAAGGAAGUUCCAUUAUGGAUAAAGAGAACUAUGAGGAAUGAGAAUGUUCAAAUAACAUGAGUCUUAUUUUCAUUAGGUAUGUAAUAUCAUGAACAUUCAUGGGUGCAAUGUUUUAGGAAUGAAUUUAAAGUUAAAGAUAUAUAGUAGAUUCCUUAUGCAUUGGCUAAGUGAGUCUAAUGAAUAUAUAAAGUUGUGCACAUCAUGCUAUUGUGUACUUUGUUAGAAUGCAGAUGUUUAUGGAAUGCAGUAACCAAUAAUUGGAAGGCAACCAAUUAGGUUAUUAAGUACUUAUAAAGAACAAAAAAAAUUAUGUUCUCACAUACAUAAAGUGAUUCAGUUAGAGAUCAUUAUGUAUUUGUUAUUUAGUCUUGUUAGAUGUUAAUACAGUUGAAAAUCUAUAUAUUUCAAUUUGGUGGAUGAUGAGCUAUUUCAGAAAGUGCUAAGCAGACACUUAUAACUCAUAUACUAUGGUAGCGAUUUUCAUAUCUUAUUAUGAGACAUCUAAUAAUAGGAUAUGACUAUAGAUUUGUCCUUUGGUUGCUAAUUUGGGUAUAUUGAAAGACCAUUAAUGUUAUACUGUGACAAAAGGUUAGCAUUGUUAUAUAUGGUUUAAAGAAACAAUUCAGAGUGGUCUAAUGUCUAUAGAGCAUAUUGACGCAAACUCCAAGUUGCAGAUCUGCUCACUAAAAGUUUAUCAUCUAAGGUCUUUCACAAGUAUGUUACUCAUAUGAAUAAUGUAUUACUUGAGGAUAUUUUGGUUCUGUAGGAGUUUGUAUAUGGGUGUUUUUUUCGGUUUAGAUAUAAAGAUCAAUAAAGUUUUUCUACAAAAUAAAGUUUAUGGUUCAAUUUUACUCUGAAAUUUAUUUAUGGGAUCUCACUAAAGUAAAUGAGGACUAGUUGAAAAUCGACAUGUAUAGAUAAACUUCAUGUGAUUUUCAUGAUGCACAUUUCAUGAUUGAUCCAAUGUCAUUUAGUUGUGUUAAUAUUAGUGAUCAUUGAUUGGUUUAGUUAUGAUUGAUAUAAUGAAAGCCACUUUGGUUCUAUAUAUUAAAUUAUUAAUAUAAUUAAUGAGCGAGAUAAAUAUAUGUCUAAGGUUUAUAAUGAUAUAUUUUUGAGCUCAUAAAGUCUAACACAAUUUAUAAAAUUACAUAUGUGACCAGUGUGAGAUUGUAAAGAAUUUUGGGUCACACAUGUAGUGUUUAAAUGUGAUUAGAGUCAUUAUUUUAAGUAGUCAUACUAAAGUGAUCUACUUCAAGUAAGGUAUAUGGUUAUAGAUAUAAUUGUCAUGAAAAUUAUUGUGUAGAUACCUAAAGUCUUAUUUCUAUUUUUAUGAUAGGCAAAAAUAAGAAAUAAGAAAUAAGAAAAUUGAAAAAGUAUCACCCUUAAUGAAAGAAAAUGUUUGUCUUAUAAAUAGAGGUCAUGGUCGCAAAUUGGAGACAACAUAUAAUACAACAAGAACCACAAAUAUACAUGCAAACAUGUCAUUCUUUCCAUCCCAUUAUAGGAGAAACUAAGGCUAAUGGUGGUCUACAAUUGGAAGACCAAAGAACUUACAUGUUCUAUAUGAACAUGCAUUUGCUUACAAGGACAAUGAGCAUGGAGUUGGUGAAUAUAUGAUGAUAGAUGACAUAAAGUUAUUCACCAUAUAUGAACUUUAUGAAUAUAUUAAAGUACGCUUCCACUCUAGUUCUAUAUAUCUAUUCUUAAUGAUUUGACAUGAAAAAUUUGAACAAUAUAUGAUGAUAGUACUGUUCAUCAUCUUCAGUAGUAUUCAUUAUUUAAAUAUAUAAAGCCUCUCAUCAUUAAAGUCUAUAUAAUAUUAAAGAUUUUUUUCUAUAGAUAAGACCUACAAAGGUUCUAGUUCUGGUCUUUUGGAUGGGAGGACGUGUGGGUCAACAUGAUCCAAUAGUGCCCCUUACAUCAUAAAACAUGGCGGUGUGCUGCUCGAGGUGCAUGUAGUAGACUGUAGCAACGAGUCCUUUAUUUUUUGAUCAUUGGAUGACAUGAGUUCUGAACACUCACAUUUGAUGAUUGAGCAUUUUUUUAAUACAUUGAUGACUUGAAACACAAAGAACAUGAUAUAUAGAUUGAAAUGGAGAAUUAAAUAUUCGAGAAUUGAUUAUUUUUUUCCUAUGAAAAAUGAGAUACAUUAUCUUUCAUGAGGAUCCAUCCACUUUCUCCCCUUUUAUCUGGUUCACGUUGUUCCAUUUAUGGAAUUACCUCUCUUGUAUUGUCUUCCCCAAUCUUAGUGGAAGUCAUACAAAUUAUGUCGUUAGGUAUCUAUAAAACUAUUUCAGAAGGGACAUGUGAAAAACAGGGUAGACUCGUGCUGUUAGGGGGAGGGAUAAUUCAUAGGCCACCAAUCUUAUACGGCGAACCACAUGAUAUAGGGAAAAAUAGCGUGGCAGUAGUUGGUGAGAUGUAUGUCGUGCUUUAGUAACCUUAUAGUACGAUUGUCGUUUAAAUGACACCCAAUCAUUGAUUACAAAGGUAAUAUGUGUUCUUCUUGAUUGUGUUUGAGAUACCAUUAUUUGUUGUUUCUGAAAAAGGUUUUGUUUGGAUGGAUAUGAUUUUUAUUUGUGUUUUUAUAUUGUUGUCCUCUUGGAGCAGGGAAUCAUUUCUUAGCAUAAAAUCUUUGAGAGUGGGCGAGUUUUGGACGUACAAUACUUUGAACAGUGAUACCUCAAACAAUAAAGAUAUCUUUGCAAACACCUAUUCACUACCCCGAUUUAGUGAUCUAAUUGAGAAUGGUAGGCAAAUCUAAAGUAGAAGGAUAUGUAAUGGAGAUGAAAAAAAUAUUUCCCUAGGGAACUAAUGAAGAUUUUGUCUCUGUCAGAUACAAUAGAGUGGGGAACCCCAUGUAGCUUAGCAAACUAUAAUAAGAAACGAUUGACAAGGACCAUGACAUUGAAUGUGGUGGAUAGUUUAAUGAAAUGGUCGUACUUAGAAUGACAAACCACAACAGCCCAAAUAAUGAUAUGACUACGAGACAUAAGUAUGUGGGUUAUAAAGUCUAUUGCUAUAUCACCCCUUACUUCACUAGGAACUAGAAGUGGUUGAAGUGACCCAUUUGUAACCCAUUUGGAAAGUGACGAAUGAAUUCCUUAAUCUGUUUAUAUACUCUUGGCCAAUAAUAAGAUGUACUCAAACGAGCUAUAGUGGGUUCUAAACUAUAAUGGCUAGAGGUUUGGAGUGGAAUGAAGCUUGUUAUGAAAAUUUGUUGUUCAUAAAAUAAUAAACCUUGUGAAAAAUGGAAUUUAUGUUUCAUAACCUCACUUGAUUCAUUUAUUGAUGAUCUAUUGUCCUUCGGAGCUGGAAUAGUAAUUGUACAACCAAUCCAAUAGUGUUGGAAUGAGUGAUGUUAGAGAAGUGUAUAUAAAAGUUUCUUCAAAAUUUUGAUGGGAAAGAGUUUCAACCAUUCUUUAUCGUUCUAUAUUUUAUUUCAUAACGAAACCUAUUAAGUUUUGUUGCGUAUUUCUUUUGUUAUGGUAUAUGUAGUCCUUGUGCCAUUAUGUGUUUUAAACUUCGUUGGUUGGUUAGUAUUCUCUCAUGUCUCCCAAUUAAGUACUCACACCAUUUCUUUAUUUUCUUUGCUAAGGUGAACAUUUCCGAAACAUGGGUAAAAGCAUGUUGAAUGGGCACAAAUAUUCUUUAGCUAAGAAAGCAAAAUGGAGACCAUUUUGGGACAACAUGGCACCAAUUGCUAUUGUGGAGGCGUUAGUUUCCACAUCAAAAGGGUGAGAGUAACCUAGGAGGUGGAGCACAUGUCAUUACGCCAUAAUAGCAAAAUAAGAGCGUUUAAAAUUGUCAUUCAACAACGCUUUUGAUAUGACAAAUCGCAAGUAUAAGAUUAUGUCGUCAAGUAAUAAAAUAUUGAUCCCAAGAGGACUGGAAAACUCCUUUAAUUAUAACAAUUAAUUUAUCCUUAACUCAAAUAGGAAUUAAAAAUGAAUUUAGAACAAUUGAACAAUUGACAAAAAUAAUUAUGAAAAUAGUAAAAAUGGAUUGAAAUUUAAUUUAGGAAGAGUUCUCAGAAUAAGGGUUAUCGCCUUUACACUCGCAAAUAAUUGUUUUGUUCAUUUUCAUGAACUUUAAGUUGUGAGGGUGAAUUGCUCUUUGAUAUGUGUCAUCCUCUCUCGAGCUCCAACACGUAUACUCAAUUGAAGUUGCACCUACUCUCGUUGUACGGUUAUCAAUCAAAUUCUUUACUUUGAUCUUUCUAUCCAAUCGCUUCGUAGCAACUCAAGGUGAAUUCUAGAAACCCCCGAGAAUCCUAAUACUACUCUCGUGAAUUAGGAUUCUAGUUUGAAUAACUGAAUAGCCAGAUAGUUGGAUUCACCUCUCAGUCAUUUCCCAAUGUAUCUAAGAGGUGUAAUUUAUUGUUCAGACAACUCAAACGAAUAAAUCUCUACUCUUUUUGGCUUUAAUCCAUCCAAAAUGCAUAAUAUAGUCAAAAAAUGCCCUCUCAACUCAAACAACGAGAAAUAAAAGCUAAAAACAUUCCUAAAGUACCAAUUAUGUCCUAAAAUUCAAGUUAAAAGCAAUGCAAAUGUAGCAUAAUUUCACACUCAUAUCAAAUCUCCUCAAGCUUAUCUCUUGCUUGUCCUCAAGCAAGUAUUAUGUCUAAUUUUCACAAUCAUAUAUGAAUGAUGAUACAUAAACCAUAACCCAAAAUAACAAGAAAUCUCAUGUAGGGAUGGCAAUGGGUCUGGUUGGGUCUAGGUAGUGUAUUACCUGAACCCACCCCAUUGCUUCAUAUUUGGACCCAGACCCACCCCUGACCCAUGUUGAUACCCACUGGGUCUGCUACCCACGGGCCCUUGGAUACCCAGCAGAUAUGUGGAUACCCACAAAUUAAAAACAUUAAAAAUAAUUUCUAGUAAUUUAUGUAAUUGUGUAUUUGUUUACUACAAUCUUAUAUGUUAUUUAGGUAACCAACAAGAGAAAAAAUAAUUUAAAGUUUUAAACACAUUUUAAAUUGAAUAUUUCAACAUUAUGACGUAAAAUUGAUUUAAUAAGAAUUGUUGAAUAAAUAUAAUAUUAUAUUACACAUAUCAAUUAACAAUGUAACAUCACCUUUUGACAACAUAUAAAUUAUAUUUACGAAUUAAAAAUAUAACAUUAUGGAUUAACAAUAUAUAUAUAUAUAUAGAGAGAUCCACAUAUUCCACAUCUUAGCCAUAAAUUCUAGGGAAAUCUGAUGGUAUAAAUUUACUCACUAAUUCAAACCAUCAGAUUUUCCUAGAAUUGAUGGCUAAGAUGUGGAGUAGGUUAUUUAAACUUACUCUUGGAGUAAGUGGAUCAUUCCCAUAUAUAUAUAUGAAGGAAUAACGGGUUCGGGUACCCAUGGGUCUGGGUACCUCAUUGCCCAGACCCAGACCCAUCCAACAACGACUUUUCAAAUCUCGGGUCUCACUACCCAUAGGUCCAAAAACACGGACCUAGACCCAAUCCGUUGCGAGUACUUUUUGCGGCUACCCACAGAUUCGAGUACCCAUUGCCAUCCUUAAUCUCAUGUUAGUUUUGAAACAAUCCAGACAUCAAGACAAAACAAUCAUAAACAAAUUUAAUUCAAGCUAAGUAUUUGAGUCAUACUAACUGCAUGAAUUAUGGUCACUCUUCUCUCAUCACUCUUAUGUGUUUAAAUGUCAUAAUGUUUCACUCAAAAUUUUUCAUGAAAGUAAAUUAACAUAGGCUUGAUUAUAGACCAAAUCGCCAUUGGCUGUAUUUUAAUGCAUGCAAAAAUCAAGAAGUCCUUAAAUGGUUGUAAUGGGGACAAAGUGAAUGAUUUAAGGUGAUAUAGUCAAAGAAAGGGUAAUUCAAAAUGUUUACAAAUGUUUCCCAAAAUACUUAAAUCUUUUAGACAUCUGAUUGAAGCAUUGAAAUUAUCUUAAUAUGCCUUACUUUAUCAUAUGAUUUUUUUCAACCAACCUUUCGCCUUACAACACAUUUUUUUCCCAGUCCCUUCUCUUUUAGCAUACAUUUUAUUUCUUCUUUCUUUUUUUCUUUUUGUUUUUACCUUUUUUGAGAUUUUCUAAAAGAGAAUGGAUGAAAUUAAUUUAUUUGUUUAUUUUCUUCUUCACUUUUUUAUGGAUUCUUUCAUCACACAUGACUUUUUUUUAUCUUUUGUUAUUGCUUCAACCAAACAUCAUAAAUUACUUCAAACCUUCAUUUGAGUAGCUAUGAAAAAUCAUUAAAGUUCAGGCUCAAAAGUGGACAAUUAAUGAGUUUUUAAUGUUUAUAUCAAGCGAUUGAAGGUCAAAAUAAAAAGUCCUAAUUGCCUCUAUCAUUUUAAUGCAUACAAACAAACUUCAAUCUUGAAACGGUAACAAAUCAAGUUCUAGAAUGUACAAUCAUAGAAAAUUAUGCACUCAUGAAAGAAAAAAAAAGGUUUUAUGCAAUUGUCAAUUCAAAUCAGAACCCUUAUUGUGUUUGGCCCAAGUUUCUCACAUUUGGUACAUUCAGCAGAAGUUAUGAAACAAAAACCUUUAUUUAACCAAAUUUAAUGUCUUUCACGUUAUUAUUCUAUCAAAAAAAUUUCUUUAAUGGGGAUCACAGAUCAACAAUCACCAUUCAUGCAUACCUUUUCAUUUAAAGCAGAUAAACAACCAUAGAACACAGCAGAUAAAACAUGAUAUAUGAAACAUAUGAUAAUGCAUGAUAAUAUAAAUAUUAAACCUAGAAAAAUUAAAAUCUAUAUGGUAUACAUGACAUGGAUGAACUAUCUAAAUAGAAAACCCCCUUAAGCAUAGAAAUUUACAUUAUCCCUAAUGUAAAACAUAAACAAUAAGAGAAAGAAAAAGAAAACUCACAGGUUAGGUAGAAAGUGUCCUUAAAUCAUGUGUCAAUUAUAAGUGGUUGGCUUCAUUGGGUAUAGUGGAAGGGUUGCCUCCCAUGAAGCGCUCUUUUAACGUCAUUAGCUUGACGGUUGGUCCUUGCGCAUCAUGCAGAAUCAUAUUUAUGUAUGACCCUCAAGCUCUCCUCAUGCGGGUUGUAGGAGAGUGUUGAACUUGCAUUUAUAGAUUUACUACCCGCAACCACUUCCUUGUCAAAGUUUGAAGUGUCACCUUCCAACAUGCUUCUCUCUAAGAGAUUCUCAUAUUUCACUUUAGGCACUUCCUCCUUCACUACUUGGUUCAGUAUAUCAAUCCUGCAACACAAGUCCUCAAGAUAAGAUUGUUUAAUAGAUUUAGAAAUAUCAAAUUCAACCUUUUUUCCCCUAUACUUAAAGAAAAAUUUCCAUUUUUAACAUCAAUUAUAGCACUAGAGAUAGCCAAAAAUCGUAUCUAGUAUGAUUGGAAUUUGUUUAUCUUCUUCCAUCUCUAGUAUUACAAAAUCUGUUGGAAUGUAAAACUUCCCAACUUUGAUAGGAAAAUCCUCUAAGAUGCCUCUAGGAAAUUUAACUGACCUAUCCGCUAAUUACAGUAAUACAGUAGAUGCUUUUAGUUCAUCCACGUCCAAUUUUUUACACACAGAUAAAUGUAUGAGACUCACACUUGCCCCUAAGUCACAUGAAGCACAGUCAAAAUUAGUGUUACUAAUUAAACAAGUGAUAGAGAAACAACCAGAAUCUUUUAGUUUUGGUGGCAAUUUAUUUUCAAUUAAAGCACUGCACUCCUCAGUUAAAGCAAUUGUUUCAUAAUCCUCUAGUCUUCUCUUUUAGAUAUAAUAUCUUAAGAAAUUUCAUGUACGCAUGCAUCUUCUACAGUGCCCCACUGAAGGGCAUUUCAAUAUAUAAUUUCUUAAGGUUAUCUAUGAAUUUCCCAUAUUUCUUUUCUAUCUCUGCUUUUGAAAUUAACUAGGGAAAAGGAAUUGGCGGUACAUAUAGUGUUGGAGCUACAUACUUAGACACAUUUUUAGAAUUUUGUUCCUCUUCAGGGAGUUAUGUCUCAAUAUGUUUCUCUCCUACUUGUAUAUCAUUCUCAGUUCGUAGAACAUCAUUGAGUUCCUUCCCACUCCUUAAUCGGAUAGCCUUACAAUGUUCAUUAUUUGGAUUUUUCUCUGGCUAUCCUAAAAACAUCCCUAUUUGCCUAUUAAAGUUGCUAGCUUGUUGUGCAAUUUGUGUUUCUAACAUUUUUCCAUGGAUGGUUAGAUUUUCUAUCUUAGAAUUCAAAUCAUUUAACAUAUUUGCAACAUUUUUAUCAUGAUUUGAUCAUUUUGAAAUUUAUUAAGGUUAGCAAGUAAUUUUUCUUGACCUUCCAUUAUUGUUAUAAGAGUGAGAUCAAUAAGAGAAGAUUGUACCUGUGGAAACCGCAUUGUAGGUUUCCUAUUACCUUGCUCAUCCUGAUGUUGAUGAUUUAAAAUGUUGUUGCUCCUCUAGGAAAGGUUGGGAUUGCUCUGCCUGUAUGAUGGGUUGAAUUACUGUCCAAUCGUUUCCUUGUUGUUAUAGUAAUUGCAUGAUUCAAGUUGUUCAUUGACCGAAGCUCCUUGUACAGGUUUAGUGAAUUGUUUGCAUUCAGACCAUUCAUGCCCUUUUGUUCCACACCCCUCACAUGUUGCAGUAGACCCAAUAACAUUACUUCUCCAUCUGAUUGCCUGAAUAUUGUGCACCAAAGUCUCUUCUUGGAUGAUGUCUCCUUUCAUUCGCCAAUUGAUGAUGAUUGGAUAAUACAUUCUCUAUAAUCUUUGAAGCAACAUCAAUUACAUUGCAUAUAAAGGCAUCACCUUCUAAAGAGUCCAACAAUUGUUGUGAUGGAAAGUCUAGCCUACUGUAGAAGUUCUGAACCAACAUCCAAGGUGGAAUAUCAUGACGAGGGCAAUCUUCAGUUAGCUCAUUUAAUCUUUCCCAGGCCUUAACAAUUGACUCCCCAUCCUUUUGACUCAAGUUUUAGAUGAGGUGCCUAUAGUGCAAAGUUUUGAAAGGAUGAAAGUAUUUGUUGAGAAAAGCCUCCUCCAAUGUUCACCAUGUUUCUUCAAUUUCAUCAUUUUGAUUUCUUAGCCAUGUCUUAGCUCUAUCUCUAAGGGAGUAUGGAAACAUGUGGAGACGAAUGGCAUCUUCAGAACUCCAAGAACUGAUCAAUAUGGACAUUCAGAUCUUCAUGAGCUCCUCCUCCAAAUUGGAUUUGCAUCACCACAUUUGGAUCAAAAUAGAUGCCAAAGAAAAUUUCUCUGCCUCAAUAGCUGGGCGGAUUAUUCCAGGAACACUUAAUAGUUAUAUAUGAAAAACAAGCAUAUGAGUUUCUAAUAACAAUUUGAAUUAUUUUCAUGUAAUAUUUACUCGAGUUAUAUCUUAUGCGCACGUCUUUCUCUUCUCUUUCUCUUUGUUGUCGUUUUCUUCUACGAAAAGUCCUUUCUAGCUUUGAGUAAUAAUUUGAACUUUGCAUAAACCAAAUGGGCAACCUUUAGAGGUAUAAAGAAAAAGGAAAACUCAUAAUACACAAGAGUAAAGUAAUGAAUUAAUUGAGAAUUAAAGAAAUUUUCACACAGUCCCCGAUAGUGGCGCCAAAAACUUGAUAGGGCAAAUCGCAAGUGCAUGAUUAUGUUGUCAAGUAAUAAAAUAUUGAUCCCACAAGGAUUGGAAAACUCCUUUAAUUAUAACAAUUAAAUUAUCCCUAACUCAAAUAUGAAUUAAAAGUGAAUUUAGAACAUUUGAACAAUUGACAAGAAUAAUUAUGAAAAUAGUAAAAAUGGAUUGAAAUCUAAUUUAGGAAGAGUUCUCAAGAUAAGAAUUACUACUUUUACACUCGCAAGUUAAAUGCAAUGCAAAUGUAACAAACAUAAUUUCACACUCAUCACGCUUAUUGGAUGUUGUCUAUGUGAACAAAGUAGAAUAUAGGGUUAUAUUCAACAAUACUUUUGAAGCGCUAUAGAAAGUGAACAUUUAACCGCACUCACUGAAGCAAGCUCUAUUAAAUGUCUACUUCUAAAAUAGGAAAAAUUGCUUUCAGACAUUAUAUAAAACACAUAACAAGCAUGCUCGAUUUCACCAUAUUUACUAGAGAUUUGACAACAUAAACAUAAUUCUGAAAACCCAAUUCAUAAACCAUUGCAUGAUCUGAUCUCCUUUAGUUCAAAUCUGUUAACCUAGAAGAUUAUAUGCAGUAAUAAAAUGCACGAAGGUGAUGAAGAUUAAAGGAGAUAUCUAUGAAUUUCUUCUCUCGCUUAACUGAAGAAAUAAGAAGACAAAAAGACAUAGUAAGAAAUACAUACAAAGAUUGCAAGUUUGGUAAAUCACUAACAACUCCAUCUAGCUUCAACUUUGACAUUUCCUAUAUUAUAAAAUAAGCAAUUAACGUAGAUGUAAAUGCAAGCAACAAGAGUGAAUCAAUGAAAAAUAAAUAAGAUAAAAUAACAUAAUGAUUCACCUUGUACUCGAAAAUAGAAUCCAAAACCUAAUAACUUGCUUUAAGAGAGAAACUAAGAGGAUAAGAAGAGUAAGAGAAAUAGAAUACUAAAUAAUAAGUAUAUUAUUGUGUAUGAGAUUUUUUUUAAAAUCUACAAAGAUUUGCACUCAUUAAAACAUGCGCUUUCGAAUAUAUGACUUUUAACAACACUCAUCAAAGCAAGCCCUGUUAAAUGUGCAACUUUUAACAAUACUUAUUGUAAUGAGCAUUGUUAAUAUGUCACAUUUAACAACACUUAUUUAAGCAAACACUGUUAAAUAGAUUCAAAUCAAUAAUGUUUGUUUAAAAAUAUGCUGUUAAAUAUCAAAAUUGUUUAAAAUUAUUUAGUUGUCAUAUUUACAAUGGUGUGUUUAUAAAAUUUUAUGUUUAAUUGUAAGAAAUUAUAAAUUGAACAAAAAACAAGUAAAAUAAAUUGGGAUCGAUAUGCAUCGUUCUUUCCCAAUGACAUCCAUGGAUUCAAUUCCAAGUGAAUUGUGAAGUUAAUGAUUCAGAUACAAUAUCAUUUAAAUCAUUCACAUCAAUCCCUUGAGUGUAAAAUCCUUAGAUAAUUGCUCAAAUAUCAAUUCCUUGUACAUUUGACCAAUUAACUUGCAUUACAUUCCAUGUAAAAGUAAUUCAUGCAUCAUUCUCCAUUCCUAGAGCAAUGAUGUAUGAUAGAAGAUGAUCCAGGUUCGGUGUCAAGUUUAACUUCCCAAUUAAACUUGAACCCAAGAACAAAAAAUUAGUAGCAAAUUAAAUUCAUGCAUUAAGAACGGGAUGAACUUCCCAAAAUCAAAUAACAAUUACAAUGAAAUCGGAUCCAUGAGUACAAAGGUUAGAAUAUUACAUUUCGAAUCCCACAGCAAGAUCUAAUCACUCCGUCUCGCUAUUACAACACUCAAAUCAUGAAAUUAUACAAGGAAUAAUGUGAAGUAGAAUCAUUUCCAUGAUUUCUAUCCUAAUAUCCUUGUGUUUCUCCCAAUUUUCGUGCCAAAAUUCCUUCAGAAGUCUUUUGAUAACCUUUUUUGCUGCCCAUAACUGCCUAUAUCAAGUUCCAACUGCCACUCUCUCGUUCAAGCUAAGGAUUCUCGCUUGAGCGAGAGAAAAAUUAUCUUCCUCGCUUAAACACCUCGCUUGGGUGAGGGAGAAACAGAAGCUACCAGGUUUUUGAUCUUGAAUUAGCGCUUGGGCGACAUUUCCUCGCUUGGGCGAGGGGUGUCAGUAUUUUCUAGUGAUUUUCUUCUGAAUUAUGACUUGAGCGACCAUUCCGGGAUGUCAUUAUUUGCUAGUGAUUUUCUUCUGAAUUAUGGCUUGAGUGAUCAUUCCCUCGCUUGGGCGAGGCUUGUGUUGUUCAUAAACUCAUUCUUCUAUUUUUUUCUCUCCUUUUUCAUCAUUCCUAAACCUUUCAAACAAUAAAACACGAGUAAUUUCCUAAAUAAUACCAGAUUAGCUAAGUUAUUGGGAAUUGUAUGUAAUGACAGCAUAAAUACGCGCUAAGUGCCCCAAAAACAUAUAAAUUUCCUUAACAAUUUGACACUUAAUAGUUAUAUAUGAAAAACAAGCAUAUGAGUUUCUAAUAACAAUUUGAAUUAUUUUCAUGUAAUAUUUACUCGAGUUAUAUCUUUCAAAAUAAAAUUAAAUAAUUUCGUAAAUACAUAUUAAGUAGUAACUAAAAGAAGCGUUUUUGAAUAUAUGACUUUUAGCAACGCUCAUUAAAGUAAACACUGUUAAAUGUGUGACUUUUAACAACACUUAUUGUAAUGAGCAUUGUUGAUAUGAUACCUUUAACAUCACUUAUUUAAGCAAGCGCUGUUAAAUAGAUUCAAAUCAACAGCGUUUGCUUAAAAAAUUAUUGUUGAAUAUCUUAGGCAAACAUACAACAACAUCCUUCGAGAAAGCGCUAUUAAAACUAUAUUCACCUACCAAAUUUAACCGCGCUUGUUUAAAAGAGCGUUGUUAAUUAUCUUAUGUAUUGUAUUUAAUAGAAUUGUGCUAGAAAAUAAUGUUAAAGGACCAUUGUUAAAUGCGAAUUCUUGCGUAAUAUGUAUUUUUGUCAUGGCUUUUUGUAGUUUUUGAAAGGUUUCUUGUACUAUUGUAGGCAAUGUAAAACUAUGUUUUUUCACAUAUCUGAAAGUAGCAAUGAAAAAUACUAAAUAUUUAAUAAAAUUUUGAUAUAAACAUGUAAUGCUUAAAAACCCUGAGCACCAUCAUCAACCAACGAGGUUGCAUCCAACAUAACCUAAAUAUUAUUAGCAUCUGGUUGAACCCCUAGUGUGGAGAUAACAUUUCCCAAAUAACUAACUCAACAAACACAAAAUGCAUUUUGAUAACUUUGUUUAAAAUUGGAGCAAGUGAUGAACUAGGGUGGUACUAUAGAUAAUAAGUAUAUCAUCAAAUAAAACUGGAGCAAACCUCCAUAGUUGUGGCCUAAAUGAAUCAUUCAUUGUUGCUUCAAAGGUCGAAGGGGCAUUUGUAAACGAAAGGCAUAACCUUAAAAUCACAAUGAUCAUCAAAAGUCUGAAAAGUAGUCUCGUGAGUGUUAUAUAGGUGUAUUCGAAUUUUGUGGUACUCGGAAAAAAAGUCAAUUUUAGAAAAUAUAAUCGCACCAGCUAAUACAUCCAAAAAUUCAUCAAUAGUUCGUAUAGGGAAUCGAUCAAUGAUAUUAAUUGAGUUUAGAGCCCUAUAAUCAACACAAAAGCACUAGUUGUUGUCUUUUUUUCAGAUUAGUAUCACCAAGGAAGAGAUUCAAGAGAAUGGGCUUUAUUAGGCACACCAAUUUAUGCUUUUAACAUCUAUUGUAACAUUGAUGUCAUAAUAUCAUUUUAAGAGUGUGCGUACUCGAUAAGGUUUGACAAUUGCUUGUUUUGAAUUUAAAACAAGGCACACAUAUUGGUUGUGAGCUUUUGGUAGUGGUAGGGUGGUGGGUGUUUGAAAAACUUGGUUAUAAGAUUGUGAAAGUAGGAGGAUUCUAGUGUGCAUAUAGAAUGAGGGACAGUGUUAAUAAUGUCUGGUAGGAGUGCUUUGUUGGAAAUAAUAAUAAUGGUAUGGAAAAUAGUUAUGAUAUAUAUGUGAAGUAGUCUAUUGAGGGUGGAUGGUUGUAAGUCAGAUGUCAAUACCUAAUUUUGUUUUGUCAAUUUUUUAAUAAAAAUAACAUAAAUAUAAAAGCUAAAAAUAAAAGAUUGUAAUUUGAAAUAAAUCACGCAAAUUAGAUGGGAUCAAUUAAUUUUGAUAUCAAUGAGAUCAUAUUACAAUAAAGCACUAAUAAUUACAAACCAAUCAAAUUAAAUCACGGGAGGAGAAAUAAAUUUUGUUUAUUUUUUUCAUUUUCCUCACAUUUUCGUCUUUUAAAUAAAAAGAAAAACAAAUAAAAAGACGUCAAACAAGUUUUAUGAAUUAUUAUGAACUCGGUAAAUGAGGAUCAACAUUUUUAAAAUUACAUGUGUCAAAAUUCGAUAUUAAACAAUUAAAUGAUGCAUUAUGGACUCAUUAAUGGAUGAAUUAUCUUGCAAGAAAAAGGUGUCCAAAAUCCCCAUAUAUAUAGAAGGAAAAACCUAACACAAGGCACAAAAAGAUACAUAGAAGAAACACCAAAGGCAUACCUAAAAAGAGAGGCCUUAGUUACUAUACACUUUUUUGUCUACAUCGAAUCAUCUAAAAUGUGGCAUAAUUGGAUUGGCCAUGUUGUCAUCGAUUUAUAUCUGGUUGUAGACAAUAUUACCAGGCGCAAACAAAUGCAACACAUGUCAUAGUCUUAUUGGGUGGUCCUCGAGAUUUUCUCCUAGAUUCCUAGCAUUAGGACACAUGUCCUACCAUGGUUUACAUGUGUCACAUUGACUAUCCCCUGUUACGCCGCAUCACUCAUAUGCGACACACAUCGUGUGGACAACUCCACAUCUCGCCAUGUGAUGCAUUUUUUAUCAUCUUCGCCAUGCGUCCCAUAUUUGGGUUUUCUGCUGCCAUGAAUCAAUACUAUCAGUGUUGUUAGCGAUAGACUUGUGCUCCAAAGUUUAUGCACGAUGAAUAUUGUUAUUUCUCCUUUUUAAUUUUUUUUACUUAUUUGAAUAAUAAUAAUGAUAAUGAUAAAUAAUAGUAGAUUAUAAUAUUAAGUAAUAUUAAUAAUAAUUUAAACACUUAAUAAUAGUAAUAUUAAGAAAAAGUUUUAAUAAUAACAAUAAUAGUAAAUAAAAUAAUAUUAGUAAUGAAUAAUUGUGAAAAAUGAAAUAAUAAAUGUAUCUUUUUUAUUAACGAAACAUAAUUAAUAAAUGAUAAAUCUGUAUAAUAAAUACCUUUUAGUGAUAAUGUUUAUAUAUAAAAAACAAUUAUAAAAUAUAAUAACAAAUAAAAUAAACCUUUUAAUAAAUUAAUAAUUAUUAACAAUAACAAAUAACAAUAAUAAUUAAAAGUUCUUUUUCUUCAAUAAACAAUGAGUAUACAAUUAACUUGUAUUUUUCUCCUAAAAAUAUAAAAAACUGUAAUUAUAUUAAGGAUGAAGGAUAUCUCAUAAAUGUUCAUUUAUAUAUUUUCAUCAACUCAUCAUUUGAUCGAUCACAUUACAAUAUUUUUAUUCCCAAAAAUAAAUAAAACACAUACCACCAAUAAAUAUUUUUCUAUCUUAACUAUGUAGUUUUAAUUCCCUAUUACUAAUAGAGAUACAUAAGAGGAAGAUAUAAUCUUGUCACACAAAAAUAAAAAAAUAAUUUUUUUCCUUUAUAAGUAAAUAAAUAUCCAAACAACUUUAAGGUAUAAAUUAAUCCAUACAAUUAGCAAGGGUACCAUCUUAGUAUAGGUAGGCCAUAUGUAUAAUGUUAAUAUUUUUCUCGAUGUGUAAUCGACUUCCUAAAUUACCAACUUAAAGACCAUCAUAUUCUAUAAAUAAGCGUAAAAAAGGGUUUAUAUAUUUUGACUAUAGAAAACAGGGUGUUGACUCUAAUAAAUCGUGUAACUAAUGUUCAAGUGAAGAUUAGAGUGCGACAUCUAGCGACUCCCCUAAGGAUAUUUCUAAGAGUCAGUCUUUCACCAUGUUUGAUUUCUUUUAAUUAAUAUAAUUGAAAUUACUCCUUUGUAUAUAUUUACUCAUUUUUAUUUCAAAAAAGUCAAACUUGCAUGCUUCCAAGAACACACAACAUGGUACACAUACAUUUUACGCACAUAUGCCAUAUACUUGGAGAUUAGAGUUAUUUUAGGAUAGGAGAGAUAUUCACCUUGUCUUUCAUGACUUUUGUAAUCUCUGGUAUUAGGUGGGUGAACCACUCAGAUUGUUACAAGUAUUAUUAUGUUAUGAGAUUGAGUUGAUCUCUCGUUUUUAGCCUCAUGAUAUUUUAGUUUCGUUUUCUUUAGAGGAUAUGCUGUAACACCUUAAUUUGGAUAAUAAUAUACGAGCGGAAACUUGUCCAUAAACAAAGAAUUCUACAACAUUAAACUUUCCUUGAUAUAUAUAUGAAUAACACCCCAAAUAUAAGAUGAAAUAAAAUAUCAUUAACUUAAAUCCACAUAAUAAACUGGACUUCGUAUAAAGAGGAUAAGAACAAAGUCUUAAAGUACUCUCAAACAAAUAAAUGUCUCCAUAAAACGUACAAGAUAAAAUUAGCAAAUAAAAAUAAGCUAUCAUCUACAAUAGUGGCUUGAUUGCAAUUCUUCCAUCUGGUACUCAGUCAUUUAUUAGAAGACCCUAGAAAUGUCAAAAACCCAAGCAUAGUGAGAUAAAAAUCUCAGUAACACUAUAAGGACAAAACCUUUGAAAAUAUGACAUUCCUAGCCGUAACAAGUACAGGAAAUCUCCAUAAAGAACAACAAAAGAGAAAUAACAAUAAUUUCACUUAAUUUUAUAUUCUAACUCAUUACACAUAACUUAAAUGUAAAUAAGAGGAAUAUAAACAUGACACAUCAUAAUGCUUCAAUCAAUUUGCAUAUAGCAUUAAUCGCCUCAAACUCUUAGUCCAUGAUUAAAAGUUUUGCACACAGCAUGCCUGCUGGAGGUGCCUGCCCCUCACUCAGUGCCCUGAGUUCGUAGAAAUGUCUUACCCCGUUUUCGGGAAUAAGCCUGUCUUUAUGCGACUAAGAAUUCGGUUGCCUGUACCCAGACCAGUCAAUAGAUCUAGAGAUCCCCUUCAUCAGUUAACAUAAUUGGGUUAUAGACCCCAUUACAAUUUAUGCAAUUGGAUAUGAUUAUAAGUAAAUAAAAGUAUAAGCAUCACAUAACCAAAUAUAACAUAAUAAAUAACAUCUAUUCAAUAUCCAUCAUAUAAAGAAAUCUAGGAACAGUAGGUAAAUUUUUCAUAAACUCUAAUCUGAGAAUAUAUGUUGUUAGUUCAGUGUAGUAAAACAACGGCCUUUAGUAGAAAUAUAUGCUUAAAGUUGUUCAUCAAUUACAUGUUUAGUAGAAAUAUUACAUAUACAUAUCAGUGUACCUAUAUCAUGAUUAUCAAAGUGACAUUCAUUUACUAUAAUAAUAAUGAUAAUAAUACAGGUACCACCAAUCAUUGAUAAUAAACUCAAGUAUUGCUACUAACUUUAUUUACCUGUUAUAGCAUAUAAUUCAAUUCAAUCAUUUGAAACAUUAGUAUGACAACAAAACAAUACAAUUGUAAACUAGGAGUUUUAGUGUAGAAUUAAGAGGGCAAAACGUUGGCCUCAUAAACAUUCAUAAGCAUAAAUCUCAAUUAAUUUGAAAAUACACCGCAUACAUCUGUUUAUAUAAAGCAAACACAUAUUAAGACAAUUGUAUAUAGAAGUGCAGAGAAAGAAAGUCACGUGUGUAUUAUUGGCAACAAUUUAUGAUGGAAAUAUAUAUAUAAAAGAACAUGUAGUAAAACAAGAAAGGAUCCACAAGGUAUAAACUAUAAUUAACAUCUAUCAUUCUACCUUCAAUUCUUCCUUAUUCAUGGAGUUUUAAGGGGUUUUAGUGUUACCUGAUAAUGAGUUUAUGUAGAAACCUUGUUCCUUCCCUUCUCUUCCUAAUUUUCUUUUCCUUCUUUGGUGGCGGCUAGGGUUUCCCUUUCUCCUUACUCUUAUAUAUAAACUAAUCUAAUAUCUUAUUUACUAUUAACUAAUAAUUCUAUCUAUUUUAUUCUCUUAAUUGAUUAUUAUUAUAUUAUUCAAAUCUUAAAUAUAUUUUAAACUAUUAUACAAUGUAUUUAACUAACACUAGACACAUAAAAAAAAUUAUAUAAAAAUCAUUCCAUAAAAGCUCAAAAUCAUACACACUAAUUAAAAAUAACUCAAUUUAUUAAUUAUUAUUUUGGGUGUUACAUAUGCAAUCUAUGGUUUUUUUUAUAUUAGAAGUCUACGGCCUUUUUAAUAGUUACUAUAUGGAGUGCUAUAGGAUUUGGAGUUGUCAUGAUAAGUACCAAAGAGGUAUUAUGGAAAGUCCUAUAGAACAAAUAGAUUAUAUAUUAAAGGGAUCGUGACUAGUGUGAGAAAAUAAGGUGCUUUCACCCAAAAUUUUACUAUAACUAUUGGAGUAGCUUGAUGGUAGUGACUCAUGGGUAAGUAACUAUUUGUUUCUGAGGCCAUGAGUUCGAGUCGCGGAAGGCUGUCCUUUGUGGGGAAUAAAAUACUACAGGAAGUAUUUAAGCUUGUGGGUGGUAGGCUCAGUAUAUUCAUGGGUGUGAGAGGUCACAUGUCAGAACUGAGGUGUUACUAUACAUAAAAAGGCGCAUUUCUAUGUUGGUUUAGAUGUAUUUACUAAGCAUAUCCAUGAUGCAUGUUUUUUUGCUCACGAUAUUAUCCUAGGUAGAGAGUCGAUAGAAUUAUUAAAAAGUUAGAAAUGUAAUUACGAACUUUAAAAAGAAAUGAUUUUCCUGUAAGUCGAAGUAAAUGAUGUACAUGAAUUAUAACUUUAAAAAGAAACAAAUGAAUCCAAUUUAGAGGUGAUAAUUGAGAUUAUAUCAUACAGUUAGGCAUAAGGUAUAUAUACCAUAGGUUAGUUAUAGAAAAAAUGGAGAAUGAAAUAGAAAGUUAAAUCAUAGAAUAGAAGUGCUUAGAAUGUAAUAUGCGAUUGAAGAGUGCCAUUGAAAUUUAAGAAAUUUUUUACCAUACAACUAUAAAAUAUACAAUGUUGUAUGAGACUACAUAUUUUACAUUAAAAUGCUAAGAUGAGAAUAAAAUCAUUGUAACAUAGAUGAAAAUAUUAAGUUGGAUGAGAUAGCAUGCUAGAUAUGAUAUCUUAUGAAUAAAUAUAUUAUGAAGAAAAGUUAUAGUAACAUAUUAUAGAAAAUAUGCUAGAAACUUAUCUUGAGUGACUUUGAAAUGUGUGGGAAAGACCCAUAGACAUGACUUUGAAACUUUCCAGCUAAUAGGAAUACAACUCGUUUGUUGUUGUCCUCUUAUAAUAUAGAACCCAAACAUAAUAGUGAUUCAAACUUAUGAAGAGUGGAAAAUAUGAUUGUGUUAAUGUAUCGAAUGUUUUACGUUUAUGUAGUUUAUUCUACAGUUUUGAUUAGCAAAUGAAUAUUGGCAUGGUGGAGCAAUUAGUAGGGAUUCCUUUGGUCAUCAAAAUGACGUGGUCGUGCCUUUAAUUAUCAUAACUAUCGGGAACAGGAUCAUUUCUCCAUUAAACUUUCAGCCUCUCUCCCAAAUCAAUUAAUAUUUGUUAAUAAUAGAAAAAAUAAUUCAUUUAAAUCACAUGUUUAAAUAUGAGUGAAAGACAAAAUUAGGGACACAAAGUUGGUACAUGUGAUCUUCAUUCUAAAUUUAUAACUUGUGGUGACAAUAAUAUUAGGUCGGAAAUUAAUUAUUAUCUAGUUAUGGUUUGUGAUAUGAGCUGUGUUGGUGUAAGAUACAUCUUUAUUUCCUCACUUUAUAAUAAAUGUCCUCUUGAAGUUUGGUCAUGUUAGAGGAAACUUAUUUAUUUUAUAUUUGCUAUGACUUAUCGGGAUUUGUAUUUCACAGGAGCUGGUGAUUACCCCAUUUAUUUUUUGCCCCGAUCAGUCAAAACAUAAACAGGAAACUUUUGUAACUCAAUUCGGGAUUAAUUUUCUUAGUUAUUGACUUCCUAAACAUCAAAAACAGGGAAAAGAGUUAAGUAUUUAUGAAAAAAAAAUUAAACAUACACCAUUAGAAAUGAAUAGAGAUUACCUAUUUUACUUUUGAUAUUCUAUUUGAAUACAAAUUCAAUUAAAAAGUGACACUUAAAAAAAAUUGUGAAAAUAUAAAAUAUUUUUUAUAUUAUUUAAUGAAAUGUGAUUGACUUGUAAGAUGAAUACGAAAACUUUUUAUGAUAUGUGAUCCUUCUUUGUUAGAAAAUAGUAUCUUAAGUAGAUUUUACACAUUUGUUAGAUUAGAAAAGUAAUAUGAGAAAAUAGUUAUAUAGUUUAAGUUAAAGUUAUAUAAAAUAUCAUCUAUCAUUUAUAUAUUAAUUAUUAAAAAUAUCACCAAAGUUUGUCAUUCCUUUCUAUUGUGCAUUGUCUUGUUCUUGUAAUAGUCAUUACUAAUAUGUAAAAAAAAUAUAAUCUUAGUUCACGACCUAUAAUUUGAGAAAGUCAUAUACAAAAAAGAUGAAUUAUGAGCUACCAAUAUAAAAAACUUAAUGCACAACUCUGUAUUUUACCUUAACAUGGAAAUCAAAUCCAUGAAUAAGUUUAUCCUAAUUUGUCAUAAAAACCAUACUGACCUGGGAGAAAAUAAAUGGAGUUUAGGAAAAAUUAUUUAUUUAUGAAUCUUAUUGACAUUAACCACACAUGAUUAUUCCACAAAAUUAUCCUACUAUGCUGACAGCUUAUUAAUCCAAUCAAGAAAUCAAUGGUACAUUAUUUACAGCAACAGAGUAAACUAACAAGAGGUAGAGGAAUUUCUCCCUUACCAAAAAUCAACUUCAUUAUAAGCAAUGAAUUGAAUCAUGAAUUAUAAGGCUAGGGGUCUGGCUUAUCAGCAGCCUCUUGUUCAUCAUUAGUAUCAUUUUCAUCAUUUUCAUCUCCAGUUAUCUCUUCAUCAGUUGGUUUCUUUUCUGGCUCAAUUCCUAUGUCUGAAGGCUUAGCAUACCUCUCACAGUACUCUGAAAUUUGAAGUUAAGGAUAUGAAAGUAAGUGCAUCUGAAUUACAACAAAAGAAAUUUAUGACAUAUAACAAAAAAUGGAUCUAGUGGUAUAAGGUUUUGCUAGACCCUCAGGAUGACGAAAAGGAUAAGAGUUCAAUUUAUGAGAGCGACUCUUGGUGGGAGGGAAAACAAUUAAAUUUAGCACCUAAGCCUCUACAGAAAGAGUGCAACUAUAUAUCAUAAAAACAGAUUAGCAAAACAAAAAAAAGCAUAUGAAGUAUGUGAUGCUGGCCAAGGGACAAGUGCAUCUGAACUAGACAGCUAAUACAAGAAAAGUAUAUUCAGAAACUAAAUUUCAGAAAGGAUCAAUCAAUAUUCAAUACCUUUAACCUUUAGUUCAUAAGCAGCUAAAUCAUGUAUCAUUAAAGCUGCAGCUUCUUGAUUGAGAGGAUCUAAUUCAUUGGGAUACAGAAGAAGUUGUGGUAGAAACAUCUCAAAUACAUUCACAAGAUCUGGAAGAACAAUCCAUAUUUCCACAUAUAUAUGAACAAAAAAUGUUAGAAUGGAAAACUUUAACAAAACCAUAAAUUUUCUCAGAAAAAUUAAACAAUGAUCAUUACCAAACAUGGGACUCCAGGCUUGAUCGAUAACAUCCAGACAAACUGAUCCUGUACUGAAAAUAUUAUAAUCCAAGAUGAUCACAUCGUAAACUUGCUUACUCUUAAAAUAAACUCAAGAAGUAAAGUAUAACAAACAGUUGCAGAGAUUCUUACAUGUCAUCAAUAUUUGGGUGAUAGAUCUUAUUGAUGAAUUCAAUGGAAGGAGACUUACAAGGAUACUCAUCUGGAAGUUCAACUCUAACUUUCCACACACCUCCUUGAUAAGGACCUGCAAUGAGCCACCACAUGGAUAACAAAACAAGAUUAAUAACAGAAGAGUGCACAACACAACUAGCACAGAACCUUCUCAAAAACAAGAAAAAAUUAAUCCUAUAUUUUUUGUACGAUCAAGGAUAUCCUCUUUUUUUUUUUGGGUAAAAAACUGAUUCAUUUUGGGUAUGUGACUGAUUAUCCCUUCCAACAAGUAUGACUCUCGGAAAUUGAACUCGUAAUCAUUUGAUCAUCCUGAGAUUCAACGAGGCUUUACCUUACUAAGCCAACAAUAAGUUUAAAGGAAUGGAACAAUAAGCAAAAGUGGAAAUCAGCCAGAGUCAUACAUAGUAAACCAUAAUAAACAGCUCCACAUAAUGCACAAUAUUAAAUUCUUAUGCAAAAUAAGAACCAAAGAAAUAUUGUUGCAGUUCAAUUCUCCUUGCAGCUCCACAUAAUGCACAACAGAAAUCAAUACAACAAUAAAAAAGGUCAAGAAAAUAUAUAAGUCAAUAGAUGCUAAAGUCAACACAUUGUAAAGUAUCAAUUACCCAAAAUAGCAAUACCAUGUUAAUUAUUCUUAAUAUUUAACACAAGGAGCAUCGUGAAAAUGAAAAAAAAUAGAUGCAAAAUGACAACAUACUGUCUUUGGGUCCAUGGAAAUGGACAUGAAACACUUUCAGUUCAUCAUUAAAUGUCUCCACCUUGUGCUUACUCAUUAUCCUAGAAAAAAUGAAUUAAAAUUUAAAAAAAAAAAUCAAAAGCAGAAACAAGAAUCAAACUAGGAUACCCAAAUAGAAAAAGAAUAAAAAUUGAAUGAAAAUAAAAUGAAAGAAAAAGGUUGAAGAUUUAACAGCUUCGUCACAUCUGUCUCUCGCCGCUUGCUUGGUGUAGACAUUUUCGUUGUUUUCUUGACUGCAACGUUUAUUGCUUUUCCUUCUCUUUCUGAAUCAAUUCAGAGAAAGAGUUUGUUUGAAUUUGAGAAGAAGAGAAAGAAGAAGUUGCUUGUGGAACUGAAAUAACCAAAUAUUGUUUCUGACUGAUAUCAGCGAAACUAAUGUGUUUAUAUAUUCAUCAUUAUGCUCAUGCCAUGCACUUCAAAGAUUCAUUCAUUGUAAUUCCCAUGCUACCCUUUUCUUCAUUCUGGUUUACUCACGUUGUAAUUAAACUCUAGUUAUAAUGUAGGCUUUUUCUCUCUUCAAUAUUAUUUGGUUUUUUGGUUUUAAUGUACUCAUUUCAUAACUGAGAUUUCUUUUAAAAGCCUAAAUGAACUCCCUCUUAAUUAAAAUUAUAAAAAGUGGGUUUCAUAGGAAAAAGAUGGUUGAAAAGCUACAAAUUUGGAGCUUGUUUAGAAAAAAAGUGUACAAUUAUUUUGAAUUCAAUCACAUUUUUCUAUAUGGUUCAUGCAUAACUAAUUAGAAAAACAAUAUUUUUAAUGUGAGUAAAUAACCGCAUAUCAUUUUAUAUAAUUUAUCAUAUUAAAAUAAAAAUAAUUCUUUUCACAUACCUUAAAUGAAUAAGAUUGUCAAAACAGUUAGAUAUAGCAUUGAAUAAAGAAGAGAAUCCUUCUUGAGCCCUUCUUGUUUUCUCUUCUUAGUUUUCUUUCUUUUUUUCUAUUUUUAGUAAAUUGUUUUUAGAUAAAACAAUUUUUGGGUUUCCCUCCUUUCCAUAUCAGGAAAGUUUCUGUUUUUCUGUUUUCAUAUUAGUUAGUUAGUUCUAGGUUGUGACCCUAUAUAUGCUUUGCCUCUUUAGCUUUGUAAAUCACGCAAGUUAUUCAUCAUUCAAUGAGAAAUCUCUAUAGAUGUAUCCAUUGAGUUAUUUGUCUUGUUAUUCUCGGCUUGCUUAUGAAGUGAUGAACUCCAUCUAACAAUCUCUUUCAAUUUCCUUGAUUCGUUGAUGUCAUCUGUUUUAAGAUGGUAUCAGAGCUUUGAUCCAUAAAGCUCUGCUGCGAUUGAACUCCAUUCAUCCCAACUCUCAAGCUUCCUCUUCUUGGCUUUUUUUUACCAUGGCUGCAAAUCCUUUAAGUGAUCCUACAAGCCCCUAUUAUGUGAGCCCAAAUGAAAAUCCUGGUGCUGUCAUUGUCUCCAUUCCAUUGACGGGUGGAAACUAUCACAAUUGGGCAAAGGCAAUGGGUAUGGCCUUGAAAACAAAGAACAAACUCCAAUUCAUAGAUGGGAGUCUGCCAAAACCCUCUCCAGAUCAACCCAUUUUUGGUCCUUGGGAUAGAUGCAAUACCCUUGUGCUUUCUUAGAUUCACCAAGCCCUUCAUGCAUCAAUUCUGCUAUCUAUGCUCUGGCUAGACACUACGCAUGAGGUAUGGAUUGAUCUUAAAAAAAAUUAUAUCAAGGUGAUGCAUUUAGGAUUUGUGAAUUGCACGAUGAUUUAUGCAAUGUGAGAUAAGGUAAUAUGUCCAUUAUCUCUUACUAUACUCAAAUAAAAACUAUAUUGGAAGAACUUGAUAGCUUUAGACCCAUACCUACCUGCAUCUUUGAAACUAAAUGCAAAUGCCAUCUUGUUCCUAUUAUAAAAUCAUAUAGAGAUAAUGACUAUGUUAUAAGGUUCUUAAAGGGGCUUAAUGAGCAAUAUUUUGGGGUCAGAUCUCAUAUCAUGCUCAUGGAUCCCCUGCCAAUUAUAAACAAAGUAUGCUAUCUCCUAAUGUAACAAGAAAGACAAAUGAAUGAUCCUCUUGAAGAAUCAAGAAUCCUUGCCAACAAUAGUGAUGAAACCUCUAAUGGCAGAGGUAGGAGAAGAGGAAGAGGUUCUAGAGGAUUUAGUGCAAGUAGAGGAAGAGGUGCAGGCAGAGGAACUACCAACAAAUUAUGUAAUUUUUGCAACAAAAUGGGGCACACAAUAGAUGUUUGAUAUAAAAAACAUGUUUUCCACCCAACUACAAUUUAACCAACAAUAUUAAUAACAUAACCAGUUAUAAUGAAGAUAAAGGUGAUGAUCAAAGGAACCCUGUGAAGAGUCAAAAGGAUGAAGACAACAUGACUACUAUGCCAUUCACAUUAGAACCAAAACAAGCCAUCAUGAACAUGCUAAAGCAAAAUGGAAGCCAAUCUCCUCACAUGACAAAUCAGAUCUGCACCAACCCACCAAGUGACAAUAAUAUUUUAACACAUUCCUUGAAAUCAAAGGAUUGGAUUCUUGACACUAGUGCCACUAAUCAUGUGUGUUAUUCAAUAUCAUAAUUCCAAUCCUUCAAACAAGAACAACCCAUUUUUGUCAAGCUACCUUAUGGGAGUGAGGUUGUGACUUGCAUCUCAGGAACCAUGAUAUUCUCUAAUCACCUUUACUUAUCUAACGUCUUAAAUAUACCUAGUUUCAGCUUCAAUAUUAUAUCAGUUUCUAAGCUAACCAGUGCUCUUAAUUGCAAGUUAACAUUCACAAAUAUGAAAUGCUUGAUUCAAGACCAGACUUCCUUGAAGAUGAUUGAUGUAGGUGAUAUGUGUUAAGGACUAUAUGCUAUUAGUAACAAAUUCUUAUUUCUUGAUGCUCCAUCUUGUAUAAACAAUCUUGAUAGUUAUAAUGUUGUAUGACAUAAGAGAUUAAGCCACUUAUCUGAUACCAAGAUGCUAACCAUGAACAAACAAUUUCCUUUUAUCAAAUACAAGUCUAAUAAUGAUGUUUGUGAAGCAUGCCAUUUUGCCAAGUAGAAGAAACUUCCUUUUCAAUUAAGUGCCUCUGAAUCUUUAAACUGUUUUGAUUUGUUCAUGUUGAUAUUUUGGGGCCAUUGGCUAUUCCUUCUAUAUUAGGACAUAGGUAUUUCUUAACCAUUAUUGAUGAUAGAUCUAGACAUACUUGGAUAUACUUGAUGAAACUGAAAUCUGAAUGUUCUAAUUUGCUUAAAGAGUUCAUCAAUUUCAUUGAAACUUAUUUUGAUAUAAAAACCAAAUGCAUUAGAUUAGACAAUGGUCCUGAGUUCAAACUAUAUAAUUUAUAUGCUUCUAAAGGGAUCUUGCAUCAAACCACUUGUGUUGAUAACCUCUCAACAAAAUGGGAUUGUUGAACGGAAACAUCAACACAUAUUAGGAGUGGCAAGAUCCUUACUUUUUCAAUCUCAUCUUCCUAAGUGUUUCUGGAAUUAUGAUGUUUGCCAUAGUGUUUACUUGAUAAAUAGACAACCAAGUCCUUAUUUGUAUAACAAAUCACUUUAUCAAAUUCUCUUUAAACAAGAUCUCAACUUAUUGAACCUAAAAGUCUUUGGUUGUUUGUGUUUUGCUUCUACCCUUGUUAUUCAUAGAAAGAAACUGGAUCCUAGAUCUAGAAAAUGCAUAUUCUUAGGUUUUAAAAUUGGCACAAAAGAUUAUAUGGUUUAUGAUUUAAAAACUAGAGAGACAUUUAUGUCUAUAAAUGUUAUUUUCAAUGAGCAAUCUUCCCUUUCAAUGUUGAGUCUAGAAUUGACAAAGAACAACAAGAAGUACCUCUACAUACUUCCACCUUCACUUCUUCUAACCACUUCCUUGAUCACAAUCCACCAACAGACUCAUUACAACAACCAGAAAAUAAUCAGCCCAAUGAAGUCACUAAUGUUUUGCCUACUGAAGAAGAUUCGUCAAUCCUUAGAAGAUCAACAGGAAUCAGAGGACACCCUACUCAUCUUCAGGACUAUCACUGCCUCAUAUCCAGAGCCUAGACUCUUCAGUCACUAAUAAGACUAAGCACCCUUUAUCCAAUCACCUAUCCUAUGACAAGCUAUCAAAGAGAUACAAAUACUUCAUACUUAACCUCAACACCCAUGAUGAACCUACAAAACAUGUGGAGGUUAUGCAGCAUGAAUGUUGGGGAAUGGCUAUAGACAAAGAAUUACAAGCCUUGAUCAGCAACAACACUUGGAGUCUCACAAAACUCCCCAGCCACAAGAGGGCCAUUGGAUGCAAGUGGAUAUUCAAAAUAAAACACAAAGCAUGUGGAACUAUAGAUAGAUACAAAGUCAGACUUUGAGACAUUCAACCUUGUAAUCAAGAUGACCAUUGUUAGGAUUUUGUUGGACCUUGCAUCCAUCAAUCAAUGGCACAUCCAUCAAAUGGAUGUCAACAAUACUUUUCUGCAUGGAGAUCUAUUAGAAGAAGUCUAUAUGAAACUCCCACUUGGGUUGAAGGUUCAGAAUCAAUCCCUAGUGUGCAAGCUGCAAAAAUCUCUCUAUGGAUUGAAGCAAGCAAGCAGACAAUGCAACACAAAACUAACAUUUGUCCUGAUCCAGAAUGGGUAUACUCAAUCCAAAGCUGACUACUCUUUGUUUAUUAAAUUUGUCAAUAAAAUUUUUACUUUAGUUCUUGUCUAUGUUGAUGAUCUACUUGUUGCAGGAAAUAACAUGAAAGAAAUCAACCAAUUAAAGGGAAUCAUCAACAAGGAAUUCAGUAUCAAAGAUCUAGGAGAAAUCAAAUACUUUCUUGGGAUAGAAAUAGCAAGAGGAACACAUGGAAUUAAUAUAUGUCAGAGAAAAUAUGUAUUGGAUCUUCUAAAGGACACAAGCCUGCUAGGUGCCAAACCAUGCUCCACUCCUAUGGAUCCAACAAUAAAACUACAUGGCAAUUGUGGUGAUCAACUCAGUGAUCCAUUCAAACACAAAAGACUAGUGAGAAGAUUGAUUUAUUUGACUCAUACCAGACCCGAGAUAGCAUACUCAGUAGGACACUUUAAUCAAUUUCUUGCUACUUUUACUGAUGUGCACUACCAAGCUUCCCUAAGGAUUGUUCGAUAUCUUAAAAAUGAGCCAGGGAAGGGAUUGUUCUUUCCAUCUCAGAAUUAUGCCAAGAUCAAAGGAUACAAUGAUUGAAAUUGGGGUUUCUGCAUUGACACAAUGAGAUAUGUCUCUAGUUUCUGUUUUUCCCGUGAACACUCACUUUUGUCCGACUUGAUUACAAAAUUAAAGUGUACGAAAGUUUCAAAAUAACAAGUUCGGAACAAACUCUUCCAAUAAACUCUUGACAAGACACUGAGGCAUUUAAUUGAUCCACUUACCAUAAAUUGAGGCAAUUCUUCAAAGGAUCAAAGUCAUAUCAGUGAGCAAGCAAAUCAUCAACAAAUAUGUCAACUAAAGCCAAUCAUAAAAAGGUUGUGAAACUGAAAAGUUUUAAGGGUGCUGAAGAGCAGUUUCGAAUACAACUGAAUCAAAAAUUCAAAUCCAAAAUUUUCAAACAAAAAAAAACUCAAUGUCAUUUCGAGCUACCAAUUCAAUAAUUCUGGUUCAUACACCACUUCAACAUGCAAACUAAACCAAAUUUCAUACAUCACUCGUGACAUACAUACAUAUCACUAAAUCAAGUCAAGACAUACUCUCGUACGUACAAAGCAUGCACCAUUCCUGCAUAACCAUCACAGGUGGUCAAACAAAUUACUUUCCACACCAAAACAUUGUCGGAUUCAGACGCCGAAAUGUUAUGACGUUGCUAGACUCAGACGCUAGAACGUUNNNNNNNNNNNNNNNNNNNNNNNNNNNNNNNNNNNNNNNNNNNNNNNNNNNNNNNNNNNNNNNNNNNNNNNNNNNNNNNNNNNNNNNNNNNNNNNNNNNNGAAGAGAGUAUACAUAUCAGUAAUAAACAAGAGAGGCUCACACAUACCCACAUACAUAACAAGCAACACACUCGUCCUCUUAUCAACCACAGGUGAGUAUAACUCGCAUUUGACGAUUCUAGUAUCUUAGAAGCAAAGAAAAAUAGGAAUCAAGCUUUGAAGGUAAUGCAUCUAUUACUAGUUUAAACUAAUUACUCUUUAAGAAAAAGGCUAUAUUUCACAUUGUAUGGAAUUGGAAAUUUGUGCUCUAAAAAUAUGGGUUUUUUAAGAUUGCUACAUCAUGAACAACAUGAACUCUGCCAUAUUAUUUUAUAGCAAAUUAAGUCGCCGUCAUUUUUAUCUUGAGUCAUGGUUCUUGUGUGCGUUCUGGGUGGAUUCAGGUUCCCGAAAUAGCUAUGAGUGCAUUCCAAAGUAAUCAAAACAAUUAAUUAAUAAAGUCUUAUGAUUAAAAGUUAACACAAAUGGGAUACCCAAAAAAAAUGCUCAUAGGAUUAUAUAUGUGCCAUAUCAUAAAAAGCAAUCAGACAUGAACAUGCACAACCCUAAGGCACGUCUAGAACUAUUGUUAAAAUACUCGAAGUAAGAAUAGGGAGUGUAAAUUAUACCUUAAAGUGUUAUCACCGUGCCGAUGGUUACGCGGCUCCUUUAUUGAUUGGUCUCGCAUAGACCCAAGCCGGAAACAAUCACAAACCACCUUAUCCCACUGUCCUUUGAUUCAUCUAAAGGAAAGCCCUAAAAAGGAGAAUAAGCCAAUACUAGCAUAAACAGAACCGAUCAAAUGAAAAAAGGUCGAAAGUAAAGAGGGAGAUGAGCUCACCCUCAUCAGAACGAAAAGGGGGAGAGAGGUAGGAAGGACCCAACCGCGAAUAAUUUCCUCGUCCAAAAGCCGUCACAACCCGAAGAGCAAGCCAUUACCGUCGCACCAUCCCUACCAAUCUCUCGCCACCACUGUGAACCAUCCUCGGUUGUUAUUGUUGUUCCUCACUGCCGCUGGAAGACGAAAACCAGUCACCGUCGCACCCUCAUUAGCCACUAUAGUGAAUUGGACCCGCCUGGUACUCAGCCACGAACCAUCUGGGACGGACAACCCUUGUUCUUCUCGCCGGCGUCGCUGGAAUCGAAGAGGAGAAGGGAGAAGAGUUCUAGGGAUUCUUAUUCCCUUUCCUUUCUCAACCGUGAAAUAGGGAUACCACCCCUAACCCCUCUUUUGUUUUUUUUUUGUGUUCUGCCAAUCCAUGUAUGUGUUUAUUCAUUGUGUUUUUUUGUUGUUGUUUUAUUUUGUCAUUUUAUUUUCAUCUAAUUUAUUUUUCGGCUUCCAUUUUAUUGCUUAAUAUAUCUACUGCCUUGGAUAAUUCAAUCUCGAAGUGUUCUCAAUAAUUAGCUAAAAUAAGGGGUUUAUAUUUUACUUUAAGUGUUUCUCUUUACUAUUAAUGUCACAAUUAAAAGAAAUAUAAAUAUUAAUACUUUAAACACUAAAAUGGAAUUUUUAUAGUAAGGUCAUGGUUCGAGUUGUCUCUAACUUCUUCGAAAGGAGAGGAAGGUCUACGACCAAUAUCAUCUCUAAACUAUUAAUUCUAUACAAUUAAUUAAUAAAUUAUUGUACCACUAAAAUUCUAUAUGUAUGAAUGAUUAGAAACUACAUUACCAAAUUAAUUAUGGAAUUUUUAUAGUAAGGUUAUGGUUCGAGUCGUCUCUAACUUCUCUGAGAAUGGGAAGAAGGUCUACGACCAACACCGUCUCUAAACUAUUAAAUUUCUUAUAUAAAAGUGAUUCAUAACGGUUGUAUCACUUAAUUUCAUGUAGUGUCCCUAACUAUUUUAUCACCAAGUUAAUCAUAGAAUUGUUAUAGUAAGGUUAUGGUUCGAGUUGUCUCUAACUUCUCCGAAAAUGAGAAGAAGGUCUACAACCAACACCGUCUCUAAACUAUUAAUUCUAUAUAAAUAAUUAAAAGCUAUUUUACCAAACAAGUUUCAUGAGACAUUUAUAGUAAGGUUAUGGUUCGAGUCGUCUCUAACUCCCAUAGAAAUGAGGAGAAGGUCUACGACCAACACCAUUUCUAAUCUAUUAGUCUUAUUGAAUCAAAACAUUUAUAUAUUAACCAAUUCAAUAAAUUGACAUUUCUAAACUUACCGAUAUUUUUAAAUCAUUAACAAUUAACCAAAGUAACUAAACAAUUUUCGAACUAGAACUACGUAAGUCUUGAUCCCCUUAAUAGGGGUACGUAGGACCAAAGUCAAUAUUGUCACGCUCAAUAACAAAAAUAAAUAAUUCUAAAUAAAUAAUUGUUAAGGGUAUNNNNNNNNNNNNNNNNNNNNNNNNNNNNNNNNNNNNNNNNNNNNNNNNNNNNNNNNNNNNNNNNNNNNNNNNNNNNNNNNNNNNNNNNNNNNNNNNNNNNUCAGACGCCGAAAUGUUAUGACGUUGCUAGACUCAGACGCUAGAACGUUCUUAAAUGAAAAAAACAUUGUCGGACUCAGACGCCGAAAUGUUAUGACGUUGCUAGACUCAGACGCUAGAACGUUCUUAAAUGAAAAAACAUUGUCGGACUCAGAUGCCGAAAUGUUAUGAUGUUGCUAGACUCAGACGCUAGAACGUUCUUAAAUGAAAAAAACAUUGUUGGACACAGACACCGAAAUGUUAUGAUGUUGCUAGACUUAGACGCUAGAACAUUCUUGAAUGAAAAAAAAACAUUGUCGGACUCAGACGCCGAAAUGUUAUGACGUUGCCAGACUCAGACGCUAGAACGUUCUUGAAUAAAAAUAUUGUUGGACUUAGACAUCACAUUUAAUUUUAUUGUCUCAAGUUCCGGCAGUACCCGGCCUGCGUUCUCGCUUUAACUUUUUACCUUAUCGAGUUCCGGUAGUACUCGACCCGCGUUCUCGUUUUAAAAUUAUGCUUUCCAGGACCCCGAGCCUGAUGUGCUUUCAAUCAAUCUUUCCAGGACCCCGAGCCUGAUGUGAAUUUCUGAGUUCCGACAGUACCCGACUUGCGUUUUCGUUUUAAAAUUAUGCUUUCUAGGACCCCGAGCCUGAUGUGCUUUCAAUCAAUCUUUCCAGGACCCCGAGCCUGAUGUGAAUUUCUGAGUUCCGACAGUACCCGACUUGCGUUUUCGUUUUAAAAUUAUGCUUUCGAGGACCCCGAGCCUGAUGUGCUUUCAAUCAAUCUUUCCAGGACCCCGAGCCUGAUGUGAAUUUCCAAGUUCCGGCAGUACUCGACCUGCGUUUUCGUUUUAAAAUUAUGCUUUCCAGGACCCCGAGCCUGGUGUGCUUUCAAUCAAUCUUUCCAGGACCCCGAGCCUGAUGUGAAUUUCCGAGUUCCGGUAGUACCCGACCUGCGUUCUCGCUUUACCUUUUUAUCUUAUCGAGUUCCGACAGUAUCCGACCUGCGUUCUCACUUUACCUUUUCAUCUUAUCGAGUCCUAUUAGUACCCGACCUGCAUUGUCAAGUUUACCUAUUAUCUCGAUUACUGAACUUGAUCUCAGUUAAAGUUGUGUGGUGAUCGUUGCUUUCGCCUAUUUUAGCCAAAAUUGGCGUUCAUUUCUUUACUUAUUAAUUACAGAAAUAGCAAUCCAACGUUAGUUUAUUUGCUAUCCAGUAAUCAAUCAGUAAAGAGGGGCAGCUGUGAACACUCACUUUUGUCCGACUUGAUUACAAAAUUAAAGUGUACGAAAGUUUCAAAACAAGAAGUUCGGAACAAACAUAUUCGAGAAAUAUUUCAGAACUAAUCGAAUUUUGUAGCUAGUGACUAGAAACGUUUUAAUUCCUUACCAAUUUAAUUCGCGGGGCUUGUUGCAUAAUCAAAGUCAUACAAACAUCUUAGAGCAUAUACCAAUUGUGGAAAUAUAAAUAUUUAUGUUGAGAUUCUUUUGUGGACAAUAAGCGUAACCCUAUUGUAUUUAAUUCUCGAAUCAUAAUCUUAUGUUGUUCAGAUCAUACCUAUCCUGAUACAAUUCACUCAUUAGACCUCAUGGUCAAAUCCAUAUCAUUUAUAAAAAAUUCUACCUAAUAUACUAAUAUUCGUUGCAAGCACUCCAAAGUCAAUACUCAUGCCGAAUGUAAUUAGUGGAAUAAAACCACAAAAAAAACAAGAAUACAUCAAAAACCCUUUAAAGAUGUUACAACAAUUUAAUAGAGAAAAAGUCUUGAUCAUCCUCAACUUGCACCAUACAAUUGAAUUAAUAGAGGCAUAGCAGGCUCCCUCGAUCAUAGGCUUUGGCAAUAUCAUCAGCAAAUCAUGUUGCACAAUGAAGAAGUGUAGAAUCAGGAUUUUUAGCAUAAGUGUAAUAUCUUUAAAACAGUGAAUCAAAAUCAAAACGGAUGCAAAAAGAAAUAAAGUGGCAUUGAGGGGAAUAAAUAAUAAAAUGAUUAAAAACAUCAGCAUGCAGAUAACCAGCCAUGGGUUACAAAGAAAAUUCAAAAGACACAAAGCAGAAUUGAUGUUGUUUCAGUUACACAGCAUUAUCAAAACAAUCAGUGCAACUUUAAUAGAGGCAUAAAUCCAAAAGUAAUCAGCUAGGAGCGUUACUCAAUAAUUUUGGCAAGCGAAAGGGUUUCUGCAAACCCCCAACCAGUAUAAGAAGCAGGCAUAUGCAACACAAAGGGGAUCAUAUACAGACACUCAGUACAAACAGAGAGAAAGAGAGCAUACUUUGCGACAGAAAUCAGAGAGAGAGAGAGAGCAAUCAAAAAAGGCAGAAAUAAUCAGGGCACAUAUUCACAUCAUAUAAACAGAGAGCAAUUCAUAUCCAUACACAAGGGGGGAGAGAUACAUAGAUCAGAGAAAAAGCUCAUAAACCAGAACACAACAAUCAGAGAAGAGAGUAUACAUAUCAGUAAUAAACAAGAGAGGCUCACACAUACCCACAUACAUAACAAGCAACACACUCGUCCUCUUAUCAACCACCGGUGAGUGUAACUCACAUUUGACGAUUCCAGUAUCUCAGAAGCAAAGAAAAAUAGGAAUCAAGCUUUGAAGGUAAUGCAUCUAUUACUAGUUUAAACUAAUUACUCUUUAAGAAAAAGGCUAUAUUUCACAUUGUAUGGAAUUGGAAAUUUGUGCUCUAAAAAUAUGGGUUUUUUAAGAUUGCUACAUCAUGAACAACAUGAACUCUGCCAUAUUAUUUUAUAGCAAAUUAAGUCGCCGUCAUUUUUAUCUUGAGUCAUGGUUCUUGUGUGCGUUCUGGGUGGAUUCAGGUUCCCGAAAUAGCUAUGAGUGCAUUCCAAAGUAAUCAAAACAAUUAAUUAAUAAAGUCUUAUGAUUAAAAGUUAACACAAAUGGGAUACCCAAAAAAAAUGCUCAUAGGAUUAUAUAUGUGCCAUAUCAUAAAAAGCAAUCAGACAUGAACAUGCACAACCCUAAGGCACGUCUAGAACUAUUGUUAAAAUACUCGAAGUAAGAAUAGGGAGUGUAAAUUAUACCUUAAAGUGUUAUCACCGUGCCGAUGGUUACGCGGCUCCUUUAUU
rnacentral:lncRNA from 1 species